rnacentral:lncRNA from 1 species
UUUUUUUUUUGUAAAAAGGAGACAUCAUUUAAACCCAGAAACUAUAGCCAAUUCAGCGUGAGGACUCAAAUAUAACUCAAAUAACAGCAAAAGGAUAGUUUGCAAUCUGUACCAGCAUGGGUACUGCUCCACCAGGACCUGCAUUUGACUGACAACCCAGAACAAGUUGCGUUUACUCAUCUCCGGUGUCGAACCAAAGCCAUCGCCCAGCAGCCCAGCGCUCUUGACAUGAUUCAGCGCCGUCUCCUACACACACAGAAACAGAAUGAAACAACAAAAUUCGAAUCCACAGUGAGCACCUACGGCACAAUCAGACGCUGUGCAGGCCAUGCUUCACGGUUACCCACCUGCAAAUGAUUCAUAAGCGUCUCUAUCGAUGCCGUCCGAUCGGCCCCGAUCUCGUACGACCGGAUGGAGAAGUCCUGCCGGAACACCUGCCCACUGAAGCCGAACGUGUCGAUGAGCAUGUCGGGCCGCUUGGGCUUCCAGUCGACCAGCGUCCACUGCCGCUCCGCGGCCAAGAAAAUGGUCGUGAUGGCCGCGAGCAGCACGCUCCAAUCCGGCAGCUGGUUGUAGAACGUCCUCGGCGCCGAGGGGCGGGCCGCCUCGUCCUCACCGUCAGUCACCGCAGCCUUGCCGCCGCCGCCGCUCACCUUGGGGACGGUGGCGCGCAGCCUUGCCGAGGACCUCACCACACCCGCGUUUCCGGCGACCCCACGCAUGUCCAGGCUGUCCUUGGACGACCCGCCCGUGCCGUUCUUGGGCGCCGGCGCCGGCGCCGGAAAGAACGCCGACGAGGCGACGGAGGCGGCCAUGUGAGGAUACGGCCGCACAGGCACAGCUCCCGCGUCCAGUCAAAUCGAAGAAGCCAAACUGGAUUUCAGAGGGGAACAGCUUUAGAUUCUCGAAAAGAUGGCAACUUUUUCGAUUAAUCGACUGGCGAUGGAAGAAUUCUUUGAACAGAAACUUCACAGAGUGCUGGGAUAUGGAGAAGGGGCCAUUACGUCUACCGAUUUAUCAAAGCAAAACUCUUCUAAUCACUGAAGUGGAAAAUUUUAGCAUGACAGUAAAACUCCAGUACUACUACUGAUCGAAGAUGCCAAGCGUCUCGGAUGAGCCUCCAUCUCUUUCCAGCAAAACCAAUUAAGAUCAUCGGGUGUUCCUGGGCUCUUGGUACUUGCAAACCAAGAAUCCAACCGACAGACCAACCCGAAAGGAAAAGGGGGCGUUGUCCCCAACUCCCCAUGAGGCAUGUACAGAGCACUGAGAGCAGCGAGAACUAUCCGGGCCCGGCACAGCAGAGAGGGCGACUGUGCCGAGAGGAGGAGACGCGGGGACAAACCUCACGAGCUAGCGCCUUAGCGGGGUGCCGGGCCGCUUCCUCCUCCUCCUCCUCCUCGCUGUGCUCUCGCCUCCGGUACUGGACACGGCGAUCGCGCCGCGAUGGUGAGAGCUGCGCUGAGGCGGCGAGGCGCGGAAGCUGGACGCGCGUGGUGGGCCGCUUCGAAGUGGCUGGCUGGCCUCGGAGGUGGGCCGCGGCCCUUUUAAAAGGCUAGAUUCGGCUUGCUGCCGAUUGACACCUCUGCCCUCGGAGGUCAGCGGUAGACUCCGGAGUCAACGGUCAAGUCCAGGGAGAAUCUGGGGAUGGAGAAAAGGCCCUUCUCCGACGUUUGGCGACGCCACCACCGAGUAAAGCUUGGCGGAGACGAAUUAGCAGUAUCUAAAGGGUCAUUUUUUGAAGAAACACCUUUAUGACUUAUGACCUAAUACAUCUCAGACUGCCAUAGCUGGGAAAUAUUACGCCCGUACCCUAGACAACAUCGUGAAACCAUACUUUGGAUAUGAGAGUUUUAUCCAACGCUUCAAGAAACUAGGAUGAAUUGCGCGCUUCGCCGCGCCCAUAGAGAGCUGGAGGCUGCCUGCGUGAUUACGUCUGUUUGAUGUCUCCUAUCUUUUUUUCCCUUUUUGUUCUGGACGAAAUACGUCUGUUGGAAUGUGCUUAGGGCAGUGUUCGUGCAAUACAACUUCCAAGCACGCACCAAGGUUAAGGAAUUAGUAUGCACAUGAAUUAUUCUCAGGAAACAAAAUACAUAUGGCUUUGAUAUGCACGGGGUCAUUGCCUGAUCCAUUGAUAAUAAAAGAAGGGAGAUGCAGGCUGUUUGAUAGUUACAUUAAAAGAGGAAUAAUGCCAAGGUAUUAUAGGGACAAUAAACGGACUGAAUUGCACCUGCUGCCCACAAUGUCAUAAUACUUCAUGUGUAAGGACAUGCAGUGCCGCGUGUUCCAAAUUUGCGAAGAAAAACAAUCCAAAACGAACGACAGCAGGUUCUCACUUAACACCGCAAUGAGGACAUCAGAAGGCAGCAAUUGUAUAAAAAAAAUAGGGGGCUAAAACACCAAGGCGAUUAAGGGCUGAAACCUAGUGUGGUGUGUGCAUCUCAGGUAGGAUUUGUUUCCCAUACUGCUACGGCUUCACCAGAUCGAAAAUUGCAUGUCCAUGGAGAAAGCUCAUUUGGUUUAGGGACACAUGUCACUGUAACAGUAAGAACCAAAAAGCAACAAUGAGCUUAAUUCAUACUAUUGCUGUCGUGUAAAGCUGAAAAACAGGAAGAAAAGACUAUAUACAACUGAACUUGGCCAUCCAAAUGUGACAGGGUACAUGAAUUUUUAGUCAAUAUAAGCAAACAGAAAGAGGAGCUAACCUGACUUACAGUAGCUAAUAAGGGAUAGCCAACACCAAAGGUUGCUAGUUAGGCUUAUGAAUUAGCCCCUAAUAAAGAGAAGAAAACGAACCUAUCAUAUUAUCUUAGCAACUAUUGGCAGACUAUGAGGUCAUUUCAAUCCUAAAUAAAUAUCUAUCCCAUUAUAGUGAUGCAGCUAGCUCUCAGAAGACGAAAAAAAUAUUCUAAGAACUUAAUGUUUUGUAGCCUUGUUGAUCCAAGCAUACAGCAGUUGUAUUUUUGGAUCUGGUCCUGCUUUCAGUAGAAGGCAAACAAUAUAGCUGAGAAAUAUGAAAUAUAGAAGAAGCCUAAUUUAAUUAUCUAGAGCAUAUUAGAUAUUUAUAUUACUAUAUAACUAAUAUCUCCUUCAUGGUUAUUUUUGGACAUUUGGAUAAUCAAAAUCCUCUCCAUUUCACUGAAAGGGAUCAUGACCACGGCCAAUUGCUGCAACAGAAGCAAUCAUGCAAAAGCGAUGAGGAAAGAAAAAUAAGCAGGGUCUAAAUAGCAUCACCAUUAUGCAGGCCGGGGUUCAACAAUGACAACAGUUUUCGGAAUAAUGAUUCUAUAUUUGCAUAUUAGUACCUAUAAGGUAUGUGAUGUGCUCAGGAAACGGAUUGCAACAACACACGGAAACACCAAAAGGUAAAAAUUUGUGAAAUCUGAGAGAAAAGGACUGAACAGGAAGCAACACUUGUAGAAGAAUUCAGUAAAUUGAGAGGAAAUCGCUUAUUUUUCUCCUUCUGUAGAUGAAGGACACGCACCUAGAACUGAUUCAUCACCACUUAAUCUACUGUAAUCUAUCCCCUUUCAACAAAUUAGAGCUUAACUACUAUCAUUUAGGAGAGCAACAUGGGUUGGGGAAGCACAAAAGAGGAAGACAGGGAGCCCUCUCACCGGAUCAGGCUCGAAGAGACACCGGGUGCAUCCCUUAAAUUCAGUCUCGGCAAAUAGAUCCAUCCAGCCGUGAGGAGGUGCAGCGUAGUAACAAAGCGAAUCCAGAAUCGAGGAGCACUAGCACUAACGGAGGCAGCUAAAGUCAAUCCCAAGAGGCUCGGAGAAUCGGACGAGGUGAACACGAGAGGAACAGCCAACCCGAGGAAAGGCGGCCGGCGAGACGCCGACGCAGCAUCGACGGAAGGGGCGGUUCCUACAUGGGCCAACGGCGGGAGGGCAAAACGUUGAGGCGGCACCGACGACGCGUGCGGAGGCGAAGCCCAACAACAGUAGGCUGUAGAACAAACGGGCCAAGACGGAAGCAGAUUGCGAUAUGGCGGCCCAGAAAAAAGAAGAACAAAUAGGCCAAGCGUCAGCGGUAAAGAAAAGUUAGACGCGCAAAGAUACACACGUCAGGAAACAAUACGGUUAAAACGGAGAGUUGCUCCCGUUGCUCGGAUCUCUUCGGGCAUAAGAGCUUACACUAGGAUGAAAGGCGCGCUACGCCGCGUCCGCACAGACUAUAUAUAUUUUUCUUGGUAAUAUAUGUUGUGACAAUAGUAGCUACGUGCUUUUGCGUCGUUUCAUUCUAUUUGGAUUGUUGGCCCAUUUCACUAUUACACAUGGUGGCUCAACUUGACCCUUUAAAGAAAAUUGAGAAUGAAAAGGGAAAUGUACUAUUUUUACAUUGCUAUAGAAUUCUUAAACGUACUAGUAUGAAAUACAUCCAAGUUAGGAUGACUCGAGCGACAUCUUUGAAUUUAGGGUCCUCCUGCCUCUGCUGGUCGUUGCAAUCAUGUGGAUAUUUCACCGUGCACCUGCCUACAACGCGAGCUCCAGGGUGCAGACGCUGCCUUGCCUUCUUCCAGAGGUGUCGUGGUCCAAGACCGGCAUGAGACAAAGGAGAAUGCCCGUGAAGUUGAGUGGGACGGCAGGCUUGGAGGCUGAUGAUCGGCCAUAAGGAAGAAGAGUGAAAGGAUCUUAAGAUGUCUAAAAGGAAUGAUUAGAUGCCUAAAAGAGGGGUGAAUAGGCUAGUCUGAAAUUUAAAAUACUUUGAACAACACCGUCAGUAACACAUAUAUUCGGAUACUGUGAAUAUACCGUAAGUGUUUCUCACCAGUUGUCUUGCUCUGGAGACUUGUAUAAUAAUAGAUCGACAUCUAUCCUAGAAAGUUAGUCUCACAACCAAAUAAUCAAUAAAACAAGUAAGGAGCACAAGAGACAGACAAAAUUUAUUUUCCGAAGUUCUACUACGUCUCCAGUGAGGAAGGAUUUAAGAGACGGUGCUGAAGAACCUAUAUGGUCCUCUCCAAAAGGUGAGACCAACGCUCAAACCCAAGAUCGCUUACUAUGUGUUCCUCCAAAAGGAAUGACGAUUACAAACUUCCCGUGGUGCUCACAACUUACUUAAGCACUCAUGAGCGACGUCUAACCGUCUAGGAGCUUGAAGCUCCAAGAGUAACAAGCUUAAAUCCACCAGCUAGACAAGAAUGAUGUGCUUAAGAGAUAAAAUGGAAACUCGUUGGCACAAAUCUUUACUCUUGCAACAAUCUCACUUGAAUCCCUAAAGAAAAUUACUCAGGAAUAAAGAAAGGGGAGUGGGAGAGUUCUUCUUUAGCUUGUGGACGUUUCUGGUUGAAAUGAGCAAAAGAGUACGAGUGAAGGGGUACACGGGGUAUUUAUACUCCCUCCUACAGAAAACUAGCCGUUGACUAAAGAAUACCUUGAUACUUUGGGUACAUGUCCAAAUUUUACGGACAAGGAACAAUUAUCCGGAGACUACAGGCAUAUGUCCGGAUACUCCGGAUAUCUUUGUCUGGACAUCCGGAGCAGAACCCGGACACUCCGGAUUUAACAGGGAAUUUUAAAAGAAGACUGUUUACAGUGGUACGUUUGAUUCUCAUGGUUUUUGCAGGUUCUCUUAAGCACAACUACCACGUCAACACCUGUAGAUCAAAAUCCCUCUUGAUAGUACGACGUUCCUAUACGCAAUUUUAAAAUAAAAUCUACUCUUCAAGUAAAUUUGAAACACCGCUUUUCAUUUCUUUUUGAGGGGUUAUGCUUCGUAAUACACUUUGCUUAUUUAGCCUUAGCACCUGCACAUAUGCUUGAUAACACGAUUAAAUAUACAUGUAUUUUGUUAUCUACCAUCAAAACCCACUAAGGCAUUUAGAUAUCUUUCAAAGAGUCAGACUCAAUGUUCGUCUAAACGGACGGCAUCGAAAUGACAGAGUUAGUCUAAAUGGUAAACGUCGCUAAAUGGUCGGUCACUUAUCAUUCACUUCCUCCGUUUUAAAUUACAAUUUGUUUUGGUUUUUUGUUAGAUACGCAGUUUUUGCUAUGUAUCUAUACAUAAUAUACAUCUAAAUACACAGCAAGAUACAUGUAUCUAGAAAAAUUAAAAUAAAUUAUAAUUUGGGACGGAUGUAGUAGCUAAUUAUUCGGACUAAAGGCUCUUUAAACGGGUUACACAAUCAUUAAAUAGGAUAAAUGGUUGAUUAAACUGAUAGAACUAGCCACUAUGCAAUGUUUACACGACGUGUAAGUGGUCUAGUAAGUGAACGGUGCUAAACGAUAGAUAGAGGUAAGCUGUAUUAUUUAGACUGUGAACAUGUAUUAAUUAUUAAAUGAUUGACCGUUUAAAUGGUAAGUAAGCAGCCUAAACGGGAUAAGAGAACAUGAUUAAAUGUUAUUAGGUGGGCUAAGCGACCGUUUGACACACUGUUUAGUUAAAUGAAGACAAAUCCAUUUACAUUCUUAUACGUGUACAUAUUUGUACAGAAUUAUUUACAUGAAUAAAUAUUUAUACUUGAUUUCAUACGUGCAUAAAUAUAUACACUUGAUUUUAUAUAUACAUAAAUACAUAUAUUUGUUAAGAUACUUAUUUUUGCAAUCACGAACAUGCAUAUUUGAUUAUAUGGUAUAAAAUAAUCGAGCCUAUUUAAUUUCGUUUAAAUACCAUUUAAAUCAUCUAAACGUUAAAUAAAAAAAUUACCAAACGAAAAUUGGGGCCAGACUGACAGCAGGCAGGACACGUUCGAUGAAAAAUGGUAACAGUAGAUCAAUGCCCCGGUUGGCCUCCUUUUUCUUCGGGGAUAAGAAGGUACUUAUACAUAUACAUAUUCCGUAAGUUUUUUUUUACCGAAGUGCAUGGUAAAAAGUUACGCAGGGCUUUGGCCCAUAAGGCCGAAAGCCCGAAACAACCAGUUGAAGGCCCAAACACUCACGCCCGAAGCCUAUAUUUAUCUACGCAGUAACGGCCCAAAAAAGGACAAACCGCCUGGCCGCCUCAGAUACCGUGCCCGCACGCAGUUUGCGGGAAGCAGGAUGCGGCGGAUAGGCAGCCGCAGACCACACCACGCCACCAGCUCCUCGCCCGCCCGCCCGCCCGUCUCAUCCACACGCCACCCAGAAGCAAAUGGAAAAAUAAACCAACCAAAGCCGCUCGGUGCUCGCAUCGCUAACCCUAAACCCCCAAAUUUCCCACCUCCCCCGAUCCCGAUCUCGCCGCCGCAGCCGCCGCCGCCGCCACGGGGCCCACCGGCCGGUGCCGCCGAGCGCUGGGCUCGCCGCGGGCCGCCGCCGCCCCACGGCUUCCCCAGGGGUACGGUGAGAAGCCCCUCCCACCAGACGAAAUCCGGCUCGCGCGCGAUCGGUGCUCGUAGGUUUCGUAGCGCGUGUCCCCGUGUGGUGCUCUGGCUUGCGGUCCGAUGCGAGGGGCGGGGGAAUUUUCCGUCGGUUCGAGUGUUUGCUUUUGGGUUUGGGGGAAAUUUUUGGGGGAGAUUUGGUCUAGGGCUCUCCCAUAUCGGGAAAUUCAUCUUCGGCCCGUGGCUGUGUUCAGCGAUAGGUUGGGCGCCAGGGCGCCCCUUUUGCAGCCUGAUACCGAUGCGCACUGCGUGGAGUGGUUUAGGGAUCGUGACUCGGAUGCUCUUUGUUGAUGCUUUCGAAUUAUUCGAUUGGUAGGAUAGAUUCAGCGUGUUUGUUAUGCCGGGGAUGUGUUCUAUAUGCAAUUUUUACUGUAUUAGGCUGUGGAGAGAUCGAUCCUCGACUCCGUUAUGUUUGCUUCAUUCUGUUUGUCCUAUGUCACAAAAUCUUAAAAAAAUAACCGAGUCAUGUUUCAUUUUCAGUUGCUAUUGAAACAUUGAGCAUUUUUGCUCUAUUUGUUCAUUGUACGUAGGUCGAAAUGUCUGAAUGCCGUCUAUAUGUUUUAUUAGUAUACAUGCUUCCAUGUUGGCACUUUAUCUCUCAGUGUUGUAUCAUGGUAGUGUUAUGGAAUAGUUUUACCAUUUACUAGAUUGCAAUGCUUGUUUGCUUCUUUUUUCUGUAGCAAUUGUAAUGAUCCAUUCUAUCAUCUUUUAUGGUUCACGUGAUAUGUGUUCUUUUGUCGUAGAAGAGUGCUUUCAUAGUCAUUCCUAGUUUAGGGUGUGUUUGGACAAGGUUUGUUUCUCUGGAAUAUUUUAGCAGUCUAGUUAAGAAAAUAUUAAUAUUUAGUAAUUUGGAAAGCCCAUCUUCAUCCCCUGCGUGUGCGGCGAAGCGGCAUUUAGUUGCUUAACUUUACACACUUGAGGCAGUCAAAAGUAUUGCAUCCACUUGUAAUACAGUAACACUCAGUAUUUGCUCAUUUUCCUUUCACGGAUCUAAGGUGCUUCUACUUAUUUGACUCAUUUUCAGAUAUUUGGGUUUGAAGCCACGGCAAAUAAUACUGUUAUUUGAGAAGAGCUUCUGGAGUUUUUGAAAGGUGGUUUCACAAUGGAGUUCUCAAAGCAAGGCCAAGCACCCAUGCCAAACAACUUGGGAUCUCAACCGGUGCCCUCUUCAAAUGUCCAAUCUAAUCAAGCAGAGUAUGCAUCUGUGUUUUAUCCAUCAUUGCCUGGUGACUGGGGUUCACAGCCGAUGUUCUCUGUGGGAGCUUCAGUACCAGUUAGCUCAUAUUAUAUUGUCCCCAUGAGUCAACAAUCAGUCCAAGUAGGUGCUUCCAGGCCAGAGGUUGCACGUCCAUUGGGGGCGCAAUCUUUACUAAGUAGAGUAUCAUUGAGGCCACCCCAGCAAGUUUUAAAUAUUCAAACAUCUUUGCCAGCGACGAUUGGGUCACAACCCUCGCCGUCCACUGUGGGCAGGAAAUCACAGCAGCCAGUUGCUUCUCCAAAGGUUCAAAUGCUGAAAUCUCCAUCGUUCCAGUCAUCUAAUAAACGUUCUGCACAGAAGGAGCCACCAUCAAAGGUCCAACCCCAGCAACUUGAAUCUGUAAGGUCCAAGUUCAGGGAGUCACUUGUCGCAGCACUGAGGUUGGAUUCUGAUCAGCAGAAUAAGAUUCAGUCCCCUGAUAAUGUCCAACCUGAUGGGUCUGCAGACAAGUUGAAACCGGCAGAAGGAGAUGCUGUGCAGGAUCCAGUGGCAACCACAUCUAAAGAUGUGAGCACAGUGAAUUCAGAUGUAGCCCCAACUGUAGCUCCGAAGAGAUGCGAGGGAGAUGAGAAGUUAAGCAGUGAUUUAGUUUCGAACAUGAUCACAAGCAUAAAUGGUGACAUGCAGCAACAGUCAAAUCUUGUUUCUUCAGAAGAUGAGUUAAUGGGUCAAUGUAUGGUUGCAGAUGAACUUUUGCAAGGUCACGGGCUUAGUUGGGUUUCUGAUCUUGAUGCUGGGAUUUCUGAACCUAAUGCAGAAUCUAAUCUAAAAAGGCCGCGAACUUCUGAUGACCCUGGUGCUACAGAAUCUCUAGUAGAGUCUGAGUCAAAAAGAAUAAAGUCUGAAAAUGAGUUAGCGAUAGAUAAGGAAAGACUCAAUCAAAAGGCUGAAGGUUUGGCGUUUAGAAUUGAAGAGGAGCUGUUUAAACUGUUUGGUGGAGUAAAUAAGAAGUACAAAGAAAAGGGUAGAUCUCUUUUGUUUAACUUGAAAGACAAAAGCAAUCCUGAGCUAAGAGAGAGGGUCUUGUCUGGAGAUAUUGCACCUGAACGCCUCUGUUCAAUGACUGCAGAGGAACUCGCCUCUAAGGAGCUCUCAGAGUGGCGGUUGGCCAAGGCUGAAGAGUUUGCACAGAUGGUUGUCCUUCCGAAUACCGAGGUUGAUCCUAGGCGUUUGGUUAGAAAAACUCACAAAGGAGAGUUCCAAGUUGAAGUAGAAGAACCAGAUGGUAUCUCAGUGGAGGUUGAGCUUGGGAGCAACCUUACUAAUAUUCCAUCGAAAGCUGUAGAAGAUCAGACCAAGUCUAAUGAAAAAGCAAGUAUGGAUGGUAAAGAAGGUGUUCAAGAAAAAGAUAAAGCAUCUGAUAGCAGUUCACAAGAUGAGGAUGGUGGGACAGGCAACAAUGAUAUGUCAGGUGAUCUAGAAUAUAUCGAUAAUGAAAAAACAGAUCUCAUGCAGGAACUUAUUUUGGAUGACAUGAAGGACACAGAAAAUCUUCCGCCAAUUCCUUCGUUAGAUGAAUUCAUGCAGGGCUUAGAUUCCGAGCCACCUUUUGUUGAUCUCUCAGUUGGGACCCCUCAAGAAGAUGGCAAUGACUCCGAGGAACCUGACACUACCUUGGAGCCUGAGGAACUUCCAGAGACAGAAGAUAAGGCUUCUGCACCAGAGAAGUCUGCAUCUGAAUCUGAUAAGCCAUCUGCGCAGGAUAACAAUGAGCCCAAGUUAGAGUCACCAGGGCAUGCAGCAGUUCCAAAUUCUGAUCUCACUGAACCACGUGAUGGAGAGCUGAGCAAAUCCUCCCCUGGUAAAGAUGAAACCACGAAAACAGCUAGUGAUCAUGUCUCUAAUCCUGAUGCUGUUCUUAACACCAAGACAACCAAUAUUCCUAUGAUACGCGAGAGCAUAUGGGAGGGUGCAAUCCAACUGACCGUGUCUUCACUCUCUAAUGUUGUUGCCAUCUUCAAAAGGUAUGUUUUCAUCUCCACAUAUGACUUUGGAUGACUCUCUUUGUCACUAGUAUGUCUUGUUAAUCACUUGAUGUAACACAUUCUUCUUCAUUGUCUUCAUCUUUUCUGCACGUAUCAAUCAACCAUUAUUAUAGGUUAUUAAGUUUAUAGAAUUUUGAAUCAUCAACAUUCUUGUUCAUUUUUCUGUGUAACCUUUGUGGACUGGGUAGAUACAUCAAUCUGUAAUUCUAGUAGGGUUACAACUCCACAAGCUUCCAACCAACUACUACAAUCCAAUGCUGUAAUUAAAUUAAUGCUUUUGAAAACGGUGAGUACAAUUUCAAGUGGAACUUUCAUCAACUUCCACGGACAAUGGCCGGCCAUACUUAAAACAUCUAGUAAGGAAAGCCAUUUAUUUUGUAAUCAGUAAUACAUAAUAAUGGCAUAUCCAUCCAAAUUCAUGGAGGCUACCUUACUGGAUUUCUGGCCGACGUUUUUGGGCCAUCAUGUGGCAAGUCUCUUUGUGCUAUUUUCUUCACUUUGGUUUGGUGUAUGGAUGGAGUGUGUUCUUAUAUUUAUCGAUAACGUGCUAGAUGAGCUUUGUUAUUGAUUCAUGUGUAAGGUUCACAGUUCUUGUCUUAUAUUUAAUAUUGUUUUCCCUAUUAUCUUUUAUAUACCAAGGUCAAAGGAUAUGUUAACUGGUUUUAACUGGAAAAUGGGUGCAGGAUGUGUGUGGUCUGGUAAAUUAUUCAGAAAUGAGUUUUUCAUAUAAUUUUGUAUGACUUUCGUGCUAAACAUUUGUUACUUCUCAUGUUUUUGUACUAUUUAUGUGACUGCUAAUUGCCUGCAAACUGGAAAUUUGUAAAUGUAUUUAUUCUAUCUGGACUGCUACUAACAUGUCUUGAAAAUUUUACCUUUUCAGUGGUGAAAAGCCAUCCUUAAAAGAUUGGCGUAGCUUUGUUGAGAUUAAGGGGAGAGUUAAACUUAGUGCUUUUCAAGAGUUUGUUGAACAGCUUCCCAAAUCUAGAAGCCGUGCUAUAAUGGUAAUUCCUUUUUUCCUAGUGUAGUCUGUUUGCUUUUCUCAUAGACAAGGCUCAAUAUGUGCAGUAUCUGAAUGUUAGUCUCUUUGCAGUUUAGGGCUAUGUGGACUGUUGCCAUUGCAAAGUGCCUGAUAUAUCCAGAGUUUGAGUGCUAGUGUUUUUUUUUAGAUUGAACAAUUGUUGAUGAAUUUUGGGUCCGUGUUAGGAGCUAUAGAUAAAAAAAGUCUUAGGUUACAGAUGCAGGGUAAGAUUUAAACUUAAUUUCUAGGCAGGUGGGAUAAUCUUGGCUGUUGAUUGUAGGACUUCCAUAUCUUGGGGCUUAAACUGCCAUCAUUAUAUAUAUUUUCAUUUGAUAUUAUGACCAAAGUUAUUGACUAAGUGGCCUAGAAGCUGUGAGCAGUUGUGUUACCAGUUGAUUAAAUUUUGAUUUUGUAAUAAGCAUGUGCGUUGCCUUUGGUUAGCCAUUGGAUAUCCAUUUCAUUGAUGUAACUAUCUGGUAAAUUUUUUGAUAGAUAACUGAGCUGUGUUGGAAGGAGGGUUCUCCGGAGAGUGGUCGCCAACAUAUCUUGCAGGUUUGUUUUCUUUCUUUGCCACUCACCACUGCUGGUAAUCUAAGAUUGAUUGCUGCAGUUACUUAAUUUCUUUCUUCUUGUGCAGACUAUAGAUGCAUAUAUUUCAGAUGAGAGAGUAGGACUAGCUGAACCUGCAGAAGGAAUAGAGCUGUACCUGUGCCCUCCUCAUGGGAAAACUGUGGAGAUACUCUCUCGACACUUGCCAAAGGAGCACCAGGAGAGCCUUUCUGUGGCAGGAUCAUCCUUCAUCGGAGUCGUCGUGUGGCGGAGGCCCAACAUUCCCAGGGUGCCCACCUCCCACCACAGGCAUGAUGGUUCCAGGAGGCAGUCAAUCCUAAGGAAACCACAGGUUACAAACCCGGCCGCUCGGCCCUCCCUGCCUCUCAACUCAUAUGGUGCACCACCAGGCUUUCCGAACCAGCGCCAUCACCGCGAGGAGGAAGAUGUAACUGAUGAUGCCCCUCCGGGCUUCGGCCCCGGUGUUGCUAGGGAUGAGGACGAUCUUCCUGAAUUUAAUUUUGUUAACUCGUCACACCCUGCUGCUAAUGUAACUGCGCAUGCCUACAAGGGCCGGCCGCAUGUACCUCCUCCCUCUGCUCGCCCAGCAGAGCAGAUGAGGGAACUGGUUCAGAAGUAUGGUAAAAGAUCAUCUGUUCAGGCCCACCGCUGGGAUGACGACGAUGACGAUGACAUACCAGAGUGGAACCCCACCCAGGCCACCAACCACCAACCGAUCAGGCAGCAGCCGCUGCCUGCCGCCCCGCAGCAACUGCCGUUGCCUCCACCACCUCCCGUCCAGCAGAUGCACCCGUACCACCACCAGCAACAGCAGCAGUACCAUGUCCCAGGUGCAGUGCAGCCUCAGGUGCCCAUCUCUUCGCUGUCCCAUGCCUACCUCCGGACCCAGCAGCAGCAGCCUGUGCAGCAGCUCCAUUUGCAGCAGCAGCAGCAGCAGCUCCAGUCUGGGCAGGCCUGGCAGCAGACAAACAACGCGUGGUGGCCGGCGCAGGGUGCUGCCGCCGCCGCCGCCACUGCGCCGGUGACCAGCAUUGUACAGCAACCCCAGUAUGGUGUAGUGCCCGGCAGUGGCAGCGUCCAGGGCUACGACGCCAGCGGCGUGAGUGGCAUGGCAUGGAGGCCGAGAUAGUAGAAACAGUGUAAAAGUCAGCUGGUUUUCUAUUCGUAGCUGUGGUACAACCUGCGAGCGUCCGUUGUAGGGUGUUUUUUCUCAAUACUCUUUUUUUUUCUUGGUUGGCUGGUCAUGUAAGUAUCAGUGGUGUACACCCGUGCAAAGGAUGUAAUCUGGAUUAGACUAGAAAGCUGCUGGUUGUAUUCGUUAGCUUCUAGGACUUUCUACCGCCGUUUUGAACAGUAGCUGCUCUUACUGUUUCAGCCUGUGCUCGUCUGUAGGCACAGCGAACAAAUAAUAAUGUUUCGCUGAACUAAAACUUUCGAAACCUGUUAGACUCCGUUUGUACGUCGAGUGCUUGACAUUGAAGAUUUGAAGUGACAUUUCGUGGGUCGAUUUAUGCGCAUCGAAAGAUACGCUGCCACCACAACAUGUUCCAUCGGGUUACUAUGCUUGCGUUUCUGUCUUCCAGUAUGCUGCUUCGCUUGCGUUUUGCCUUUUCGAAUAUUUGCCAUUGGCAUCUCCUCUUUAUCUGGGCAAGCAUGGUACGUUUUGUUGUUUUUAUACUUUUAUAUAGAUGCUCUGUUUAUAUCUUGUCCAAAUUGGAACAAAAAAAAAACCCAAUGUUCUGUGAAGACGAAAAUUCCUGUAGCAGACAAAAUGCUUCGGAUUCUCAACAUUUUCUACCUUGUGGACUCCCAACUCAUUCGCUCUUUAUACAUGGGCCAUUUUUAUUGUUCGGUGGAAUCGGAAUCGGACUGUCCCUAACCAAUUACUCCAACCCAACGAGCCGUAAAAUUCAACUUCGUGUCGGACUCGGAUCCGACUGACCGCGAUAAAACCAGGAGCCGGCGAGGGGCGAGCCCUCGCAGCAUCAGUGUUCGUCCGCCGUCUACGAGAGGGCAGGGUCUCCUAGGAAAAAGAGAGGGCAUGCAGCAGGGAUCGACGGAGAUGGACAUGGAUUUGGACGUCGCGGCGGCGAAGCGGAUGAAGCGGCCAGCCGCCGCCGCCGUGGAGGACCUUGACGACGACGAGGAGCGGCGCUUGGAGGAGCAGCUGCGCACGAAGGUGCCCAAGGCGAACUUCGGGGCCUACCCCCCGGACAUCAGCGAGAUCCUGCACAAGGGGCGCCUCGUCAAGAUGGAUAAAACAAUGAGUUACACUCCCGGCGCCACUCCUUCCGCGUCCUCCGCGGCGGCGGGCCUCUUCCUCCCCGUCGUCGCUGCAGGUGCAACGUCCACGUCCAUCAUCUCCAUCUCCAUCGGCCUCUCCUCUCUUUAUUUCUUCGACUAGAUCUGAGGGAACCUGGAGGCGGCGGCUGCGUUGUUGGCUUCGAGACUCAGGUUGGCUUCUGCGCCUUUUAUCUCCCUCGGUCGAUUUCGAGUCCGACUCUGACCUCCGAGUCGCCGGAGUCGGAAUCGGAGCCGAUUACCAAUAACUUCACCGAGUAUUAUUGUAGCGUGCAAAGUAUUCCAUUCGCAGGCUGUUAUCGACGGAGCUAUGGAUUCUGACUGAAGCUUACGACGUUCUGGGUGACGCAACCGCAAAGAAAGUCCAAGACAGAAGCAACGAACGGGCAGCGCUUGCACGCAGGCCUGCAUCCGGCCUCAUCCCGUGGUCCGGUGGCCGGAGCUCGUCAGGAUCUGAAGAUGUAGCCUGUCCAUUGCCAAUUUGCCAUCUCCUGCCUUCUUGAGAAUCAGAAAUUGAACAGAGGUUUCAACCUUUUCAACACAUUCAGAAUUAAUUAGAACGGGCAAAUUCGGCACAAUAACGGGGUUUAUAUUCCCCGCAUAUGCGAGUGGGGAGCACGCGUCCCAGAAGACGUUGGCCCCUGCCGCCGGUCGUCUUCCCGGUCUCCGGCGACUUCCACCGCUGGAUCCCACCGCCCGAUGCCUGCCCCGCCCCCACCUCCGCCCAUCUCCCGCGCCCCACCUCGGUCCCUUGCCCACCGGCUGUCAAACCGCCACCCCCGGACCGCCGCCGCCCCGCAACCCGCUACUGUCGCCGGUCUUCCCUUCCUCUCCCACCCCCUUCUUUUAAGGCUGCCGGUGACCACCGGUCCCCCGACAACCUGUCCUCCUGAAACCCGAAACCCUAAGCUCCGCCGUCUCGACCACCACCCCGGCUGCCGAUGAUCUUGCCGGCGACCGCUCCCCCCACCUUCCACCCCUCGCCAGCGGCCGCUCCACCCCUUUCCCCUCCCCUGGCUCCCACUCCUCCGUCCGCGCAGGUGGCGGCGGCGUCUCCCUUAUGUGAUUGAAUCGCGUGGAGUAGCAUAUGCGAUGAAUAGUAUUCCCCCACAAUAACACCUGAUCAAAUUUGUCUCGAGCUACUCCGAAUACGCAAAAUUCACAAUUUCAAGUUCGAAUCGGCGCCGUGUGGUCUUCUUCUCUGAGCUCCGGCAGCCGUACGUGCAGGUGCUCGACCUUGCGAAUGCUCCGGCUGCAGCAUUCCAGCGAGCAGCUUCUCCGGGACGCUGGUAGUGCCCGACGGAGGCCGACCGGGUCUGGCAUCUCGAAUAGACACGCCUGGGGCUCGCCACCGCUGGUGCUCGCCGUGACCCGCCGGCGCGAGCUUUGUUAGGGGGUUAUUUGCAACUGUUAGGGAGUAUUUCAUAAAUUAUCUGAUCGCGAUUAUUAAUCGCGGUCCAAAUAAAGGGGGCUAUUCGAAAAUAUGCAGGGGUGUUUUUAUAAGUUUUCGGAUCGCGAGCUUCACCGCCCGGCUCGCCGGAGCGCCGCCUGAUGCCGGCCGUCGCUCGCUCGCUUGGGUGCCUCUCCUUCCUCCUGCCGGCCGCCGCAGCUUGCGUGGGAAGAUGGUUGCCCGAUCCCCAAGGCGCGUUCCGUGCACGGGCUGGCAAGAAACGCCUGCUCCGCUCCACGCCGCGGCGCGCGCGGCGCGCCGGAGCGGCACCGCCGCGCUUCGGCCGCUCCUUGCUUCCCUGCCCGUUCCUUCUGGAGACCUCCUGCCGUGUGUCCUAUGCAUCGUGUAAGUGAGGUAGCACUGCCAGUUCGCUCCUCGUUUUCUGAAGGCCUCGCAAUUCUUGAUUUGUUUGACUGAAUGCUUGGUUUUAAUUGAUCUGUAUGAUCUCCUCCAUGUACUCUGUUGCUAUGUACUCUGUUACUAAGUUUUAGGCGGUGUUUGGUUUCUCCGAGGGGCCUAUCAUAUCGGAUGUUUGGAUGCUAAUUAAAAGUAUUAAAUAUAGACUAAUGAUAAAACAAAUUCCAUAACCCUUAACCUUAUUCGCGAGACGAAUAUAUUAAAUCUAAUUAGUCCGUGAUUAGGUCAUGUGAUGCUACAGUAAAUAUGUACUAAUCAUAGAUUAAUUAGGCUUAAUAGAUUCAUCUCGUAAAUAAGCUCUAGGCUUGUGCAGUUCGUUUUAUAAUUAGCUUGUGUUUAAUCUUUCUAAUUGUUAUUGAAACAUUCGAUGUGACAGGGUUUAAAAUAAGCCUCACGAAACCAAACACCCCCUUAAUUACACUUUCUCAUCCAUAAAAAUAAUAUUAUCGUCAAAACUAUCUCUCACCAGAUUGGCUGAAGAAUCCAUAUGGACCAGUACAAACAUGUUAGGGUAAAAUAUACUAUCGGUCCUCGAAUUUGACUUGGGGUGUCAUCUCAGUCCCUAAACUUUCAAAAUGCACAUUCAAAUUCUUAAAGUGAAACUGUUUCAACAUAUGUGGAGCUUACAUGUGGGUCCAAAUUUUAUUUUUAAAAUAUUUCCGCUCAACUCUUAUAUUUUCUAAUUUUUUCCAAAAUUUUGUUUCACAACUUUAUGCCGAACAUUUUCUUUUCCAAUAUUUCCUACAAAAUUUGUUCUUUUAUUUUCUAUUUUAUUUUCAAAUUUGGUCAUAUGAGUUUCUUGUUUUACAAUUUUUUAUACAGAUAUUUUAUAUUUGAAUAUAUUUGUACAAGUAAAUUGGUAUAAAUUAUUUUUGUGCAUAUAUAAUUAUGUUUUGUGCAUAUAUUUGUACAGCUAUUUUUGAAGGCCCCACCUAAAAAGUCCGGGCCCAUAUGGCUUCAUUGGAUUGUUCUACAAAACCUGUUGGUUAAUCGAUCAUCAAAGAUGACAUAUGUGCGGUGUUAUUGUCUUUAUAUGGAUCCGUUUUGAGUUUGUAUGAAGUGUCAUAUAUCUUGCUCCUGCAGCUAGGUGGACUACCUGUUAGAUUUGCCAAAACUUAAUAUUAGCGGCACGUUAUCCAGAAACUUAAUAUAACCUAGUUCAUGAUAAAUCAAUCUAAUGCGGAAUAAACGGUAAUCAUUAUACCAGCGUUAGCAGUAGCAGCAGCCAUUUACGCCUGAUCCGUAGAGGAAGUAGACGUUCUUGUCGGCGUAGGAGAUGCAACAGCGAAUCGGCGUCCUCCGGGCGCCAACGGGAGUGCUUGGCCUUCCAAACCCCUCCAAUGCCUUUAGCGAUCAGACUAGCGGUGGCUAGGAUUUAAGAUUGAGAUGAUUAGGUCAUUAAGGUGCUAACCACGACCUUAUGUUUAUAGGUACUAUGGGGCUGGGGGCCAGCCUCUGGAAACAGGCCUAAUGGGCCUGCUGAUCACAGCCCAUUAGGGUUUUAUCAUUAGGUUUUCUUAAUCAUAUUUAGAUGGUUUAAACGUUUCCUUAACAGUGAAGAUCACAAUAUCUUAACAGAAAUUUAUUUCCAACAUUCUCCCACUUGAUCGAACGGUUAAGGCUAAUAUUUGUAUCAUACUAAUGUUCACACUUAGUAGUAACAGAGAGUACCGGACCAAUGCGUCAUUAGUAGCUUGAUGCACUACUGGGACCCCAUUACCCACAGUCUCACUGAAACACCUCGGUAGAACGCUUAUUCUUUAGUUGGGAGUUAUAAUGGCUCUAAAACUAGGAUCUAAAGACUAUCCACCAAACCCAUAUUAGUAACGUGCUACUUAAAUACGUUCGGUAGCAAGCCUUUAGUGAGCGGAUCCGCUAACAUAGAAUUAGUUCUUAUGUGCUCAAUCUUAAUGGUUCGAUCCUGGCAUCUUUCUUUCACAACACGAUACUUAAGGUCAAUGUGUUUGGAAGCACCACUUGACUUGUUGUUACUCGAAAAGAAUACUGCAGACUGAUUAUCGCAGUAUAACGUUAUAGGUUCCGUAAUGCUGUCACUUACCUUGAGACCCGGAAUAAAAUUCUUAAGCUAAACAGCCUGUCCAGUUGCUUCAUAGCAUGCCACAAACUCAGCUUGCAUCGUCGACGCUGCAACUAAACUUUGCUUAGAGCUUUUCCAUGAUAUAGCUCCACCAGCUAACGUGUAAAUAUAUCCUGAUGUAGAUUUCCUACUAUCCACACAUCCAGUAAAGUCAGCAUCAGUAUAACCCACAGCUUCAAGGUUAUCUGAUCUUCUGUAUGUGAGCAUGAAGUCUUUAGUGCCUUGGCAGUAACGUAAUUCCUUCUUGACACCAACCCAAUGGACCUUCUCAGGAUUUUUCUGAUAUCUUCCAAACAUUCCGGUAGCAAAAGCCAAAUCAGGACGGUACAGACUUGUGCAUACAUCAGGCUUCCGACAGCUGAAGCGUAAGGUAUGUCCUUCAUCUCAUCUGAUUCCAAUUGGUUCUUAGGACAUUGGGCUUCAUUAAACUUAUCGCCCUUCGCUAAUGGAACAGGUGUGGCCUUACUCUUAUCCAUAUUAAAUCCCUUAAGCAUUUUCUCAAUAUAUGUCUUUUGAGACAAUCCUAGUACUCCUUUGGUCCUAUCUCGGUGUAUUUCAAUGCCCAGAACAUAAGAGAAUUCACCAAGAUCUUUCAUAUCAAAAUUGGAUGAAAGAAAUCCCUUUGUCUCAUAUAGCAUACGCUUAUCGCUGCUCGCUAAUAGGAUAUCAUCCACAUAAAUCACUAGAAUUAUAAAUUUACCACCCUUUAUCUUAGUGUAGAUACAAUUAUCUACAUCAUUCUCCUUAAAUCUGAAUUUCUUAAUCACUUGAUCGAAUUUAAGGUUCCACUGUCUUGACGCUUGCUUAAGCCCGUAAAUAGAUUUCUUAAGUCUGCAUCCUAAAUGUUCCUUGCCCUUCACAACAAAACCUUCCGGUUGUGCCAUGAAGAUGGUCUCAUCCAAGUCACCAUUCAGGAACGCAGUUUUGACAUCCAUCUGAUGUAGCUCUAAGUCAUAAUGAGUACUAGCGCCAUAACGAUUCUGAAUGAAUCUUUCUUAGACACAGGGGAGAAAGUUUCAUUAUAAUCGACCCCUUCCUUUUGUGUAAAACCUUUGGCUACAAGCCUUGCUUUGAAUCGUUCGACAUUCCCUUUAGAAUCGCGUUUAGUCUUGUAGACCCAUUUACAGCCUACUUGUUUGACUCCACUAGGAACAUCUACCAGAUCCCAAACAUCAUUGGAACUCAUGGACUUAAGCUCUUCUUCCAUGGCCUCAACCAUUUGGCAGAGUUCUCACAUGAUACUGCCUCUCUAAACGUGUUUGGAUCAUCAGCUUUCCCAAUAUCAUACAUAUCUUCACUUAAGUAUGUCUCAUAAUCAGGGAAAACUGUCUUUUUUCUAGCCCGCUGUGAUCUUCUUAAUGGUUCUACAGGCUGAGGUGCUGGUUGAGGUGCAGCCUGAGGCACCUCGACAGGGUUCUCAUCUUCAGCAUUAGGCGCCAUUUGCUCAGCUUGUUGUUCGCUCGCAGGCUCAGGAGCUACUUCAACAGGCGGAGUAGCGCUAGUACUCUGAACAGGAGGCGUAUUCUGAACAGAUGGUGUACUCUGAACGGAAGGAACAAACAGCGGCACUAACUGAGGUGUUACUGUUUCUUGAAUUACCGGGAUGGGAAACUCAGCCCGUAUUUCUUCAAGAUUAAUUUUCCUCCUCGGAAAGCUCCCACUGAUUCCUGCAUCCUCUAAGAAUACAGCCUGCCUAGUCUCAACGAACUUAGUGAGGCGAUCAGGACAGUAGAAUCGGUAUCCUUUGGACUUAUCAGGGUAUCCGAUAAAAUAGCAGCUCGCUGUCUUAUUAUCUAAUUUCUUUUGAUGUGGAUUAAAUAACUUAGUUUCGGCUGGACAGCCCCACACACGUAGAUAAUUAAGCGAUGGUUUCUUCCCAAACCACAACUCAUAAGGUAUUUUUGGCACGGAUUUGGAAGGAACACGAUUUAGUAUGUGCGCAGCUGUUUUUAAUGCUUCCAUCCACAGCUCCACAGAAAAAGUAGAAUAACUAAGCAUGCUACGUACCAUAUCCAUUAGUGUACAAUUACGACGCUCAGCAACUCGAUUUUGCUAUGGUUCGCCCGGCAUACUGUACUGGGCCUUUAUACCAUUCUCUUCUAGAUACUUAGCGAAUGGUCCGGGUACUUGGCCGAAUGAAGCAUGUCUCCCAUAAUAUUCACCACCUCGAUCCGAUCUCACUAAUUUAAUAGUGACAUUAUGCUGAUUUUCCACUUCAGCCUUGAAUAUUUUGAAUUUAUCUAAUGACUCGGAUCGAUCACGAAUGGGGUAAAUAUAACCAUAACGAGAGAAGUCAUCUGUGAAAGUAAUGAACGAGUCAAAACCAUCAACAGACUUUACUAGGAACGGGCCACAAAUAUCAGUAUGAAUGAUUUCUAAUAGGCCUGAACUCCGAGUAGCUCCUUUCUUAAUUGUCUUAGUGAAUUUCCCCUUAAUACAAUCAACGAAUUGUUGAUCUAAUUUUGAGAGAUCUAAUGAAUGGAGUAUCUCUUCUCUUAUGAGACACUCAAUUCUCCCCCUCGAAAUGUGGCCCAAACGACAAUGCUACAAUUUCGAAGAAGUCUCAUCAUCACGCUUACGCUUAUGCGAUACAUCAUCCACAUUCAUUGCAGAAUAAACAUUAUCAAGAAAGAGCAAAUAAAGAUCGCCUUGCAAAUGACCAAGGCCCACACUUAAAUUAUGAAAUUUAAUUUUGCACACAGAGUUGCCAAACUCACAAAUAUAUCCCGACUUAUCAAAACGCGAAACAGAAAUAAGGUUUCUCUUCAAACUGGGAACAUAAAGAACAUCAUGCAAACUAAGGUUCAACCCGCCUGGUAACUCCAAAUCGAAGCUCCCAAUGCCUUCAACCUUCACUUCAUUGCCAUCAGCCACUCUUAGGCUUCGCUCCCCCUCUCUUAUAGUUCGGAUCGAAUUGAAUACCUGUAGUGAAUUGGAAAUGUGCACAGUGACAUCUGAGUCAAUCCACCAAGUAUUAGGAGAAAAAUUCACUAAGAACGAUUCAUCAAUAAAAGAUACAUAAUCAAUAAUUGUACCUUUAUUCUUAAGCCACUCCUUAAAUCUAUGGCAUUUCUUCUGCUCAUGUUUAGGUGACUUGCAGAACUUGCACAGCCUCUCAUUAGAGGUCUUCUUAUGUGACACGGCCUUGCUCUUAUGGCCCUUAAACUUUUUCUUAUGCUGCCUGUUGCUGCCAGACUCAGCCUCAUACUUAGGAGUGUUAUUCAUGCUAACACGCCCAAAGCGCUCGCUGACCAUGUUGACAGCAUCCUUCAUCCUUUCAGCUUUCUGCCUUUCUUCUUCCUCAACACAGUAGCUAAUGAGCUCAGCCAUGCUCCAAGUCACCUUCUAAGUAUUGUAGCUUAUUUUGAAGGGACUGUACUGUACUGGCAGAGAAGUCAUGAUGAAGUGCACCAGAAAACAAUCAGAGAUAGCCAUAUCCAGUGUCUUCAGCUUAUUUGCCAUGUCACACAUGCUCAUAAUAUACUCCCUGAUUCCACUUUGCCCAUCAUACUGUGAAGUCAGCAUCUUCAUGAUCAGGGUGCUAGCAUAAUUCUUGGAAGAACUCUUAAAGCUCUCCUCCACCUUGGCAAGAUAUGCCCUGGCGCUCAGAUCAUUACCAUCCUGGUCCUUAUCAGGAAUAGCACCACAGAUGGCCGGAGUGAUCGUGUUCUUAAUGAUCAUAUUGGCCAUUCUGUCUGAUCUCUCCCACUUCUCAAUGGCAGUACGAUCACCAUCGGGAUCAGCAGGCUCUGCUGGCUUGUCUUGACGUAAGGCGAGAUCAUACUCACACACAGCAAUGGCAACAUUAACAUCUUUAUACCAGCUUGGAUAGUUGGUGCCAUUCAGUGGCUCAAUGGAUUUCAGGUAGCCCAUCACAGUGUUCACUGAAAAAUUAUGAGAACAAUAAUUUCAUUAAACUCACAAUUAAGAUGCGCAUAAGAAGUAUGAAAUUAACCCUACGAUGGUCUGAUUAAAAUCAUACAUAAAUUUUAAUUUGCAUCACCGAUGGGGAAAACAAACGAAAUUUAUCAUUAAACUCAUAAUUAAAUCAACGAUGGUCAGAAUUAAUUAUAAGUGCUCUAAAUAAACUUCCCGAUGGUUCCAUUUAAAUAGAGUGCAUCUUAAUUGAUUAUGGUGGAUGAACAUAAUUUUUAGUGAAUAAAUGCAACUAAAACAGGAUUAAAAACAUUUACAUAACUCAUGGAAAUUAAUUAACAUAAUGCUGGUAAUAAUAAGUGCAAUAGAAAUAAUUAAAACUUUAAACAUAAUAGCAAUUAACUUGAGCUUUAAACAUAAGAAAUAGUAAAUAAAAGACUUUAAACAUUAACUGGGCUAAAACUCAUAAACAGCCCAAAACAUUCCUCUAUACGCGCAGCCCAAUCUGUGCAAUUUGGCCCAUUUGGCCCAUCCCGCGAAAACCCUAGUGCGGUGAAUCUGGACGCUUCAUUCCGAUCGGAUGGCCAGAAACUCACGGCAACUCAUAUAAAAACAUGUGGUCGGAAUGAAACCCUAACACACACCCUCACUUCACUUCUUUCUUUUUCCCCAGGCACGGCCGCCGCUCAGGCAGAGAGGCGGCGCUGGCGGAGCGGCCGGGCGGUGCGCAGGCGGCGCGCCCGAGGAGUGAUGCGCAGCGGGCGGCCGGGCCGCAAUGUACUAGCGCGCGGGCACUGACGCGCACGAGGCGGCGCGCGGCUGGCGCGAGGGCUGCGCUGGCGAACAGGCGGGCGCGCGGGCUGCGCGCUGGGCCCAGCAGCAAGCGGUGCGGGCGCGUGGCUGGCGCUCGGGGCGGCCGUGCGGGAUGCCACGUGGGGCGGCGCGCGGGCGCAGCAGCGCUGGCGCUGCGCGCGGGGCCAGGUGGCGCUGCAGGAGCUGCGGGACGGCGCGCGGGGCGGCGCGCGGGCCGCCGGCUGGCGUGGUGGUCUAGCAGCACGGGCUCGCAGGUGAUUUUUUUUAAGUUAGGGUUAGGGUUCAUCAUGGGAUUUAGGAUUUUCUUAAAUCGAUCUAAGAUUUGUAUUCCCCUUCCUCUCAAUGCUUACUUAUGCAUCGUGUUCAUGAUUUCGGAUCUAAUUUUGCGGAAAUCAAACGUGAACAGAGAUCUAAUUUGGGAACAGAUUAAUUAGCAGUUUGCCUUAAUCUUAAUUGCAUAGCUAAACAUCAAUUUUGUCUCGGUUUAACCAUGAAUUAGAAUAAAUGUUAAACAUUUGCAUCUAAUCCGAGAUACUUAGCAUUAACAGAUCAAGAUUAAACUUAAACUUGAUAUAAAUCGAAUUAGAUUAGAUCUAAUCUCAUGAUCAGAAAACUAAUUAACCAAGAUUUAGAUCUAAUCAAGCAUAAUUAACACAUAAAGCCUUUCUGCAGGAACUAAUUGCGUCUAAAACAUGAAUCAACCUUAACUGUGCAAUAGGAUCUAAUCUGUACAGCACAUUUGCAUCUUAAACCGACGAAAACAGAGGCAUAAACAUGGCUCAAAAUUGACCGUGCAUGACUAGGUUAAGAUAGCUCUGAUACUAAUUGUUAGAUUUGCCAAAACUUAAUAUUAGCGGCACGUUAUCCAGAAACUUAACAUAACCUAGUUCAUGACAAAUCAAUCUAAUGUUGAAUAAACGGUAAUCAUUAUACCAGCGUUAGCAGUAGCAGCAACCAUUUACGCCUGAUCCGUAAAGGAAGUAGGCGUUCUUGUCGGUGCAGGAGAUGCAGCAGCGAAUCGGCAUCCUCCGGGCGCCAACGGGAGUGCUUGGUCUUCCAAACCCCUCCAAUACCUUUAGCAAUCAGACUAGCGGUGGCUAAGGUUUAAGAUUGAGAUGAUUACGUCAUUAAGAUGCUAACCACGACCUUAUGUUUAUAGGCACUGUGGGGCUGGGGGCCAGCCUCUGGAAACAGGCCUAAUAGGCCUGCUGAUCACAGCCCAUUAGGGUUUUAUCAUUAGAUUUUCUUAAUCAUGUUUAGAUGGUUUAAAUAUUUUCUUAACAGUGAAGAUAACAAUAUCUUAACAGAAAUUUAUUUCCAACACUACCGACCACCUAGCUGGUGUAUACACGUAUGCUCUUGCACUCUGGAGCGUCACUUUUAUUUUUGUGGAGUACACAUGUAUGACCUUGCCGUACUGUGCUUGCAUGGCCAAAUAUCUGGGCUUUUCUCCCCCCUUUUUUGGAGUGUAUAUAUAUUUUGUGCAUCAUGAUCUAAACCUCAAAAGAUCAUCAAAAACUUUGGCCUGGUUUGAAGUCGUAGUAGGCUUACUCAUCAGCAUAUUAGACACACAAUACGCUGCAGGGGCGAGUGGCCAAAAUCGUGUAUAGUUCACCUUAACUUCCGAGAAUGCAACAGCCAGGAAUAGGUAACCAUCAACCAAAACCAUCGUAGCAGAGAUGGCCGUAAUCAAGAUACGCCAUACAUGCUUUGACAGUGCAGCCUAUUUUUUACUUGCUACUACGGCACCAUCGCGGGAUGUACACCCCUGCCAGUGCCAGCACCGUAGCUCUGUCGACUGCAUUCAGAAUCUUGCGAUUUCCCCGCGUCUUUGCCCAUCUCGACACAUGCUGCUUGUCUGAAGGUAUAGAUUGUCUGUACUUGCCAUCUUUUUGCUCCUGUCAAUCAGAAACUGAACAGGACCUUUCAGGCUUUUGACACAUUCAGAGUUGGGCAUGGCGAGUCGGCCGGUUCAUCUUCAGUGCUCACUGCACAAUCACGCUCACGCCUGGUCGGAUUUAUCUCGUGCUACUACUUCGUCUGCAUGGGGCGAUUUUCCAGUUCGGAUCAGCUAACGCUUUGAGCUCCGGCCACCCAGGUGCUCACUCAGCCUUGCCAAUGCUCCGGCAGCAGAGUUUCAGCGACAAACUUCUGCAGCAUGCUGGGCUGGCACUGGCAGCCCCCCAUCGGAGGAGUAGCCGGACUGGCGUCUCCAGAACACUUAUCGGAUCACCACCUACUGGAGGUGGCCAUGACUGGCCGGCGCGGGGAAUGGCCGCGCGGGCCUGGCGUCCUGUCAGAUAUGAUUCUUGUGGACGAAUCGCAUGGGUGGGGAUCUUCCUGGGGAUUCCUGUGGAUUAAUCUCAAGCUUGUUGAUCGGUGGGAUCGGUGAAUGCGGUUCUAGCGCUUUGCGCACCCGGCGCGACAGGAGGACGGCGGCGGCCGGCGCCGGACGGGAAGGAGAAGGACCCGACCUGAAGCAGGGGGUUAUACGAAAAACGUAGGGGGCAUUUUGUAAAUAUUCGGAUCGCGACUAAUAAUCGCGAUCCAAAAUAGGGGGAAAUAUGAAAAUAAGUGGGGCUACUAUAAAAAUAUUUCUAAACUGUAGGGUGUUAUUAGAAAAUACUUGGGGUUAGUUUUAGAAAUUAACAGAUGGCGACCCAAUCCACACGCCGCGGCUCGCCGGAGCGCUGCCUGACGCCGGCCGUCCGUUGAGUGCCUCUCCUACCUCCUGCCGGCCGCCCCAGCUCGUGGGGGAAGUUGGUGGCCGGAGCCCCAAGGCGCGGUCGGUUCCCGGGCUAUCAAGAAAGGUGUUCGGGCUCUCCAUCCGCUCCACUCCGCGGCGCGCGCGGGGCUCGCCGGAGGUGCGGUGGCACCGCCGCGCUCCACCACUUCCAGGCUUCCCUGCCCGUUGCCUCUGGAGACCUUCUCACCGAAUCUCCAAACUGCUGUGUAUCCUGGCAUCCUGUGCAUCGCAAAAGUAUGCACUCCUAGUUCGCCCAUUAUUUUCUGAAUUAACCUGCUCUAUAGAUCUGCACAAUCCUUGACGCCUGAGACUCCGAAUGAUUGGUUUCCUUUGUUUUCUGCGAUUGCAAGAGGUUUUCGGUCAUCCUGUCUAGGUACGGAUCACCCCUGCACGAAGACGGUUUUCAAUCAUCCUCUAGGCAUUUUGUUGAUGCCCUUCAACAAAUCUAGACAAAUAAAAAAAAGUAUGUAAACCAGUUGCACGAAGAUGGUUCUACCGGCAGAUGGAACGAGAGGUGGGGUGAUUAUAACCUGUUAACUGCAACAUUUACUACCUAAAAGAUGUUGAGUUGGGGAGAUUUUAAGUAUCAGCCACAAUACAGAGCAGAGCCAGCAAUCUUGAGUGGAGCUUAACGGGUGCAUGUGGGCUGCAAGAAGAUGCUGACAAAACUGAGUUCACAAUUUGAUCUACAGGGCAUCCGACAAAAACAAGGGUGGACAGAAGAAUGAAUCAAUAGGUUCAUAGCCACACGGGACCAACUGGAGCUGAAAGUGUUACAUUUAUAUGACCGCAAAUUCACCUGGUCAAGUGCAACGGACAUCCAACACUGACGAAAAUUGAUCAUAUUUUCUCCACAAGAGAUUGGGAGCUGGCACAUCAUCGACAAGGUAGGAACCAAGGUUCCAAGCUGCAAGGAUGGAAAGGCCGAUUUCUAACCAGAGCAGGACGAUUGCACUUGUACUAUCAGUCCUAUCUGCUAUUCCAACCUACCUCAUGACUUCAUUUGCACUGUGCAAAUGGGCAACCAAAAGAAUAGACCGAAUCUAUAGAGAUUUCCUAUGGAAAAGCUCAGAAGAGGCAAGGGGUGGCCACUGCAUUGUUAAUUGGACAAGAGUCAAUAGAACCCCCCAAAAUUGGGAGGAUUGGGCAUCUUUGGCUCGCUUCGACAGAGCAUUGCGUCUGAGGUGGUGGUGUUUCAAGUGAAGACGGCCAGAGAAGCCAUGGGAAGGAAUGCAAACAGAUCAUACGGCAAAAGGGCGGCAACAGUUCAAAGUCUGCACAGUGAUUUUAGUUGGCAAUGGAGAAAAGACAAAUUUCUGUAAGAUAAUUCGCUUCAAGGAAGGGCACCAAUGGAUAUCACGCUGGCCUGCUGCAAACUAGCCUGCUGCAAGAACUACUCAGUAGCAACAGGAUUACCAACCAAAAGAUGGAUGCGUGGAUUGAGAAGAAUGAACACUGAAGAGGCCGUAAGACAGUUCACAUAGCGCUGGGCAGCCCUGCAAGAUAUUCAGCUAACACAAGCAGAAAACCAGAUCAUAUGGAUGCUUAAUGCAAAGGGCGAUUACUCAGUUGAAUCAGCCUACCCAGCCCAAUUCAUUGGAUCGCAUCCCGAUUACCAAUGGGAAAAAAAAAUCUGGAAUGCAGAGGUAGAAAAUAAAUGUGCCUUCUUCACUUGUUUCCUUGUUCAACGGAAAUUUCCGAUGGCAGACAAAAUCGUUGCACGAAGUGGGCGGGCCAAUCUGAUCUGUCAGCUAUGCAGUACAACACAGGGACCAGGAACAUAAUGCUGUACUGUUGGACCAGGAACAGCCUGUGAUCAAACCCAACACAGGGUGAACAAAACAGCCUGAUGCUUGUUGUAAUUUUCUUUUUCCCUUCAGCAUACAGAUACAGUCUGUAAAUACUAGUGCCUUUUCUUCUAUAACGAAUAGGUAGCGCACCUGCCUGAGCUUUUGCUCAAAACAAACAAAAAGGAACAGCUGCUGCUUGGGGAAGUAGUAAUUUGCAUUGGUUUGGCAUGUAUUGAGAUGAUCAUAAUGAAUUGCUUUGUACAUGCAUACGAUUGGAUAGGAUUAUUAGAAAUUAUAAGCAAGCAUGACACCUUAGUCAUCCAGCAGUGACAUACGGAAGGGAGGAUUCAAUUACUUGAGAACACAGACAAGCAGUUGCUGACCUUUUUGUGUAGAAACUGACUUGCCAAUUAGGUUUAGGGAUAAUGUGGAUUCUUUUUCUCAAAGUGAUUGGCUGAUGGAUCCAUGUGAGAAUGUGAUAGUUUAUACAUCCAUCUGAGAAUGUGAUAGUCAGGAGCUGCAACAUACAAAAACUAAUGCUGGUCGAAUGUAAUAAGGUGAGCUAAUCUAAAACUUGCCGAUUGCUGCUGACUCUGACUGGCUGCUACCGUAGUUUGGCAAGCAAACUAAUCUUAGAGACGCAGGUGAAGGCAUAAAGACAUGUUUUGCCUUUUGACACCCUUGAACAUAUCUCAAACGGCAAGCAAAGAGGGACAGCAGGAGAAUAAAACAUCUGCUGCUUGGAAAAAGUAGUGUAAUUUCGUUUGGUCUGUAUUGAGACAAUCAUGUGAUUCGUUGUACAUGCAUAACACUAGGCAGGUGUCCUACGGAUCUAAUGCAGUGGAGCGGCUUUGGCCUGAUGGCAAUGAACUGCAGAGUGAAGCUCGAGCUCCAGGCAGCGUGCGCGGUCCUCCCUUUCCUUGCGGCUGCGGGCGACGAUAGCGGCGCCCCGGAUCCUCACCAUGCGGCUCUGGUGCAAGAGCUACCUGAUGUCGGGGGGGUGGGGGGGUGGGGGGGGGGGGGGGGGUGGAUGUCGGGUCGGGUCAUGUUCCUGUUCCAGCAGCUUCCCUGGUGCACCUUCCUCCCACGCAGCUCCUCCCAGCGCCAGUCCUCCAGCCCGGACGCCUCCGCCGCGCCGGCGCGCCGCUUCGUGCCCUGCUUCACCGCCGCGGCCGGCGCGCCGUCCACCUCCAUGCCAUCCAUCUCCAACGGCGUCCCUCGUUUAAUUUUCUCACCCCAACGACGCUGAGACUGGAGGGUUGGAGGUGCAAUUAAGGUCACCAAUUUACACCCCUAACGAGCAUGUAGCCCUGGUGGAGGAGCUCCCUGAUCUCGGGAGGGAAGUCCUCGCGCGCCUCGUCCUCCCGCGAAUUCCACUUGGGAACCUUCCCGCGCAGCUGCUCCUCCUGGCGUCAGUCUCGCUCCAGCCCCGCCGCGUCCUCCGAGCCGGCGGGCCUCUUCUUCCCCCUGGCAGCGACGGCCGGCGCCAAGUCUAUGUCCAUGUCCAUGUCCAACUCCUCUCCUCUCCUCUCUCGAAAAGAGAUAAAGAUGGCGGCGGCGGCUUCUUCUGAUGGUGGAGCACGACCUUCCGGUUGCGAGCCUCGUGGUUUUAUGCGUUGAUGGAUCCGAUCGACUCCGAACCCAAGUCCGAACUUGACGAAUAUUAUAGGAGUUUCGAUGCUAAGGCACGGACGUCCGGACGAGGUGCUCUGACGUAUAUUUUAAUAGUUGAUUUUUGAUAUCGCAAUCUUUAUUUUCGCAUAUUUUAUGAUAAAUAUUGCAUGAAAUAUAAUGUUUACGCUGCUGCGGGAAUUUUCGUAUUCGAGAGUCAAACAAUUUAAUUAGUUUUUUCGUACAUUUUCCAAUGUUGCACCUAUAUAUUUUGUAGAUAUCUUAUUUCGAUGUUGCAAUGGCGCAUCCAUUGGGAAAGUUCCCAUUGGACGUUCGGAUGCUAGCAAGCCCGUUCUUGCAAAGGUCAUGAUAUGCUUAGAGAUGUUAGAGCUCGAAAACUGAAGAAGGCACUUGAAUUGGGUGAAAUAAAAAAUAGGAGUGGUUUAAAUCAAGAGAUGGAAUUGGCUAAACUCGGUGACACUAGAUGAAGUUUUCACUAUAAAACUAUCUUGCAUAUCAUUGACAUGUAUUCUACAAUUCAGGAAGUACUCGAAACUCUUGGAAAAGAUCCCACGUAAAAAGAUGAUUGGGCGAACAUACAUGCUAUGGUUCUGAUUUUUGAGCCAUGUGAGUUUGUUUUCAAAGCACACUUGGUGCUUGUCAUUCUUGGAUACACAAAUGAGUUAUUCUAGUCAUUGCAAAAGAGGGAUUAAGAUAUUGUGAAUGGAAUAUCAUUUGUCAGUUUGGCAAAAAAAAUGCAACAAAUGAGGUCUCAUAGGUGGGAAGGUUUCUUAGCAAAAGUUACAACAUUUUGCAGAAAAUAUUCCAUUGAUAUCCCUACAAUGGAUGGUAAAUAUGAGCCUCCUGGAAGAUCCCAUCGGUUUUACCCGGAACAAACAAUGAUGAUUAUUAUAGAAGAGAAGUGUACAUUGGUGUGAUUGAUAGAAUUCAUCAAGAGCUUGAGAAUCGAUUUGACGAAGUUAGUAUAGAGUUGCUUCUUUGUAUGUCGGUUUUGAAUCCUUCCAAUUCAUUUGCCUCUUUCGAUAAAAAAAGUACUUUGACUUGUAAUUUUUUACCCUAAAGACUUUUCAAGUUCUCAAUUGAUGGAACUUGAACUCCAACUUGAUACGUAUAUUGAUGAUGUGAGAGAGGAUGAUAGAUUCCAAGGCCUAAAGUUACUUACUGAGCUAUCUAUUAAACUUGUUGCAAUACAGAAACAUGAUCUUUAGUGAGAGAAGAUGUGUGGAGGUUUUACACACGUGUUGGUGGCUAUCGAUAAAUUUACCAAGUGGAUCGAAUACAAGCUAAUUGCAACGCUCACUGCAGAUCGAGUGGUUACUUUCAUCCGCGAUAUCUUACACCGCUUUGGCUUCUCCAACACCAUUAUCACAGAUUUGGGAUCCAAUUUCCACUCGUAUCAGUUCUGGUAUUUCUGUGAACGCAGAUCCAUUGAAGUGAAAUAUAUUUCAGUAGCUCACCCGCGUGCCAAUGGCCAGGUUGAGCGCGCCAACAAUUUGAUUCUUGAUGGAUCGAAGAAACGACUCUAUGACGAGAACAGCAAAAAGAGCGGCAAGUGGAUCAAUGAGAUAUCAUCAGUAGUCUAGGAGCUUCGUAUACAGCCAAGUAAAGCCACAUGCUAGUCACUUUUUUUCUCGUAUACGGACCUGAAGCUAUAUUACCAGCUGAUGUGAUGUGGAAGUCUCCUCUACUGGAGAUAUUUGAAGAAGGCGAGGCGACGCUGCAAGACAUCUCGAGCUCGACUCAGCUGAAGAAAUCCGAUGCAAUGUAUUGUUGCAAUCGGCCUGCUACUUAUAAGGAGUUCGUCGUUACCAUAACAGGAACGUUCAACGACGCUCUUUCAACGCUGGAGAUAUGGUUCUUCGAUGAAUCCGGAAUAAUACUAGUCUACACAAGCUUAAUUCACGACGGGAAGGAUCUUUCAUCGUGCACAAGGUUACAGGCCCUGAAUCUUAUCGCUUACAAUGCUCGGAUGGCAAGAAGGUACCAAAUUCUUGGAAUAUUGAACAUCUACGUCGGUUUCAUCCUUAAUCAACUGGAAACAUCUUCUACUAGCGCCUGGAGAUUGAUACUACCAGUACAACUUCGUUUUACCGGUUUACGACCGGUGCUACGUGCAGAUUUACUGAAGGGGUCUCGCUCCCAUACUUCCAGUAACUUAUUACUGGUUUCCGACUAGUAUCUUGGGUUACUGAAAGAACCUUGCGCUCAUACUUCCAGUACAACACUGUUCUACUGGUUUACGACUGGUAUUGCACGCAAGUCUACUGAAGGGUCUCGCUCCCUUAUUUUUUAGUAACAUAUUAUUUAUUUUCGACUUGUAGACUAUGGUAUUGAAGGGGCCUCGCUCCCAUGAUAAAAAGUUUACUAGUUUGCGACUAGCACUGCUUAUGUUCGACUACUUGUCUUUACUACAAUCCUAGACGGGAUCGACUCCGACCAGAUGGCUUCAUCGAUUGCUCAAGCACCAGCGGUUACUUGCUCCAUGCUUGGGCUCGGGGGCUAGUGCCACCUUUAUGCUACAACUACCUUAUGCUUAUCAUCUGGCUCCUAGCUCGGGAGCAGCAACGACAAGGGACUCAGCGCAUCUAAAGAGACAACUCUCAUGUUUACAUACUGGAUCCUGUACAACAACUCAACAGUACACGACCCAAGAGGCUUUUAAAGAUCUAUCUUGAGUAGAUGUUUUGUUAACUAUUAUUUCAGAGAUUUUAUUCCAAAAUAAGGGGUUUGUUCAAAUUAUUACCCAGAAGAUUUAGUUAGUCAUUGGCUCUGGGCACAAAAGUUGAUUUGAGAGGUAAUUUUGGGUGUUUUUUGGGAUGUUAUUUGUUUAACCAUUUUUCAGGGAAUUCAUCCCAAAAAAGAGAUUUUCAAAUUUACUACACCAAUUUGCAUAUAUUCACCAUCAAAUCUUUUCUGUCAUACAUUGCAUGCCACGAUUCUUUGGAUCCUUUAUUUUUCAAAACCUGGGGAUUUGGAUUCAAGGUUCGGGGGCUGCGGGAUACGUGUCAUGAAUGACUUAUUUUUCAAAUUUGCUGCAAGAUAAGGAUAGAAGACUCAAGAUUAAAUUGAUCCUCAGCUUGAUUCUACGAGUCAAACUAAGUCUCGGGGGCUAUUCCAUAUGGAGUGCGAGUUUAAUCACACCUCAUAUAAAAAAGAUUGGACAAUUACUCGGGGUGUGAGCACCUCACAGUCUCGACACAGCCAAGGAAAUAUUUGGAGGACACCUUCAAGAUGGAGUUUGGGAGAACUUGAAGACGCCUUUAGAAGUACUCGGACGCCUGCAGUACUCGGCUACGAAGAGCUCGGGGGCUUGUCCGACUCAGGUACACGGGACUGUCCACGUGGCACACUUCUUUUAGGAUACGGGAUGGGAUAUGGGUCACGCCCUACAUCAGUUGUAACUAAUCGUAAUGCAGUAGGAUUAGUCGUACAGUAGUGAAACUAGUCGGACACGGUAAAAAACUACCCGAGAAGUACUCGGGUACGACUACUUUGCUUGUGUCCGACUAGGAAUUCCAUGUAAGCCUGUCCUCCUAGACUAUAUAAGGACGGACAGGACCCUCUCGGGGACAAUCAUCAUCAAAGGCAAUAAAAACCACGCAGGACGUAGGGUAUUACGCUCUCGGCGGUCCGAACCUAUCUAAAACCUUAUGUUCCUUUGCACCUUCGAGUUCCUGAUCUCGGCGACACGCUACCUACAAACUCACCACCUCGGGAGUAUACGUCGGUGGGUGUGGCGGUAAAACACCGACGUAUGGUGUUUUUAUCCUUAAAUUGGCAUUGAUUCUACCCGUGGCAACUGCAACUGUGGAAAAAGUAUUUUUUUGUGUUAAAUCUAGUGAAGAAUCAAAUGAGAAAUCGCAUGUGCGAUGAGUUAUUGAAUAAUUGUUUGGUCACUUUUAUUGAGCGUGAAAUUUUCUCUAAUACAAGUAAGGAUGAUAUAAUUCACACUUUCAUGACCAUGAGAAAGCCUAAAGCAUAAGCAUUAGACUAGAUUAAUAUUGUAAUCUUCUAUAUGUAAGAUUUUAUUGAUGUUGCAACUUUUUAUAUUGUAAAUUAUUCGAGUUCUGAACUAAUUUGUUGAAUUGAAUGUAUUAUGGGACCUUUUUACUUAUGUUAUUGUAAAUUUGAUCAUUAUAUACCGUAUUCUCACCGAACUGCUAUUAGAUCGUACCGGAUCGCGUUUUGGAUUUUUUUGCAAAGACUAAGCUAAUUUCAAUUCCUGGGUCCGCCGCUGGCGUGACCUCGAGCCUCAUGGUUUUAUGCGCUGAUGGAUCCGAUCGACUCCGACCCCAAGUCCGAACUUGUCGAGGAAGGCAGCGCCGAAUUCGACUAGACAUCCAAUUUUCAAAGGUGGCACCUCCUCGUCGCUGCGAGGGCGCGCGAAGGCCGAGGAGUCUGACAUCGCCCCUCCGUUUCUGCAUUGUCGAGCAUCGGCCGCCAUGACUGAAAGAUGAUUAACCUCGAUGCUCUUGAUUUGGGGUUUUGGGUCGGGGCUGGCUGGCCCGGCAACAACAUCAUGCUCAUGCAUUCGGUCGCGUCUAUAUCUGUACAUCAUGCUCACAUUCACAACAGUGCAGCCGAAUGGAGAAAUUCUGCACUCUAUAUCUGUACACAGCAUGCGGCCUGCACGUGCCCGGUGAACUCCGGCGGCGCGGCGGCGCGCGUCCACGACGGCGUCGCCGCCCCGCCGUGGCUCAGCACGUACACGGUCUGCUCGGCGCCGUGGCACGCGGAGCCGACGACGGCCACGCGGCCGUCCCCGAGCGCUGUGACCUCCGCCGCCGCCGCGCGCCCGUCCUCCGGCACGCGCGCCAACGUUCGCCACGCGCCGCCCUCGCCGGCGUCCCGCGCCAUGACGUGUCCAUCGCGGAGCAUGUACAUCGGGUCCGUGGCGGUCUCCGGCGCGGCGCAGCAGGUCCUCGGGCACGCGCCGUCCUCGAUCACCCGCUCCCGCACGGCCCCCCACGACCAGGUGGCCGGGUCGAACGCCUCGGCGGAGCCCGCGAACCGGCCCUGCGCCUCCGUCGGGUACCCGCCGAGCGCGACGAACCUGGCGCCGGCACGGACGCCCCUGGCCUCGUCCCGCUCCCGCGCCAUGUCCGGGAGCGCCGCCCACGCGUCGGCCGCGGCGUCGUACGCGGCCGCGGACCGCAGCGCGUUCUUCUCCUCGUCGUGGCCGCCCGCGACGAACACCCUGCCGCCGACAGCCGCGCACGCGAAGAACGACCGCCGCGGCGGCGGCAUGUCCGCGCCGCGGCGCCAGAGGCCGACCACGAAGUCGUACACGUGCACCGCGGCCGUCGGCGCCCACGUCUCGGGGUCCCACCCGCCCAGCACCACCAGCUUCGUCGCCGGGCCCUCGCCGACCGCAGCGAGCUGGCAGAACAGCGGGAGGCCGCCGCCGCCACGCGCGCCGGGGAGGGCGGACAGCGGCGUCCACGUGCUGGCGCCCGGGUCGUGGAGCACGAGGCGGUACGAAUAGCCCCCCGCGGCGGCGUACUUGCGCGCCGGGCCGGAGCCCGCGAGCGGGGGCCGCGCCUGCGCGAGCGCGAGGAGCGGGCGGGGCCGGCGGAGGCGGUGGUGGAAGGGCGACUCGACCUCCGCCUUCCACCCGCGCGAGACGCGGCGCGCGGCGGGGAGCUGGUCGAACCCGAUUCGCACCAGGCACUCCCGGGCCAGAUCCUCCGGGAGCCCCGGGAUGAGUUCGCCCAUGUCCGACGGCUCUAGCGCCGCCGCGGGCUCUUGCUUGCGAUCGCCGGUGUCCGGACUGGGAAUCAUCUCGUGAGCUGUGGUGGAUUGGAUUGGUGGUGUGUGGGAGGGCGUGCCGGCAGGAGGGUUUAUAAAGGCGGGGGUUUUUAGGAUGGCAGCGGACGGGAUUGGGCUGCUUGCAGUUGGAUUGGAUCGGACAGAGGCGUCGACGGCGGCGGUCGUCCACGGGAAUGGCCUGGGAGAGCGACGGCGGGUCGCGGGUUUCUUUUCCGGCCGGCGUCCUUUUCGGCGGGGCCUUGGUUUAUAGAAAACCGUGUAUGUCUGUCCCCGUUGGUUUCGAAGCAGUCAAGCAGAGAGUCACACACUGUUUGUAUAUAUAUCAUUGUAUGCACUGCUAAAUACUCGCAUCUAGUCAUUCUUCAUUCUUGCACUCCGUUACUAAGAAAGUACUUAUAUAGAUAAAGAAAAGGUGAGAUCUCCAAUACUCCAAUUGAAACGCUUAUCCAAGUGGUGUCGAGAAAUGAAAUUCUACGCUCUCCUUUUUCUUUCUUUUUUUUAGAAAAAUAGGAUUUAAACCCUGGCUAUGUGCACAUGAAAUUCAAAUCAUGGCUGCUAGCUCCACUCUCUAAUAAGUUAGCCAACCAGAUUGAGUCCGCUUGUACUUUUUUUAGAGUCCUUUUUCUUUACUUUUCUUCUCUUCUCUUCUCUUCUCUUCUUUGAAUUUUGCGAAUAGACACUCUUUUUCUAAUAUUAAUAAAAGGUUAAAAAUGUUGGGUGCUCCUAAACUAUCUUUUUAACAGGGUUGUAGUAGGUACUAGGUACUAUGUGGUCUAAAACAUACUGCUUCGAACACCCGGGUUAACAACGAGCACGACCUCUGCUCUGUAGCAAAAGAGUUGGUCACCCGUCUCCUCUCUAAGCUCUGUUCACGAACGCUGGCGCUUGCUUUUGAUGGAGCUUUCCUUCGUUGGAAGCAAACUUGCAAAUUAGGCUAAAAAAGGGCAACCUCGCAAAUCCUAUCCAAAAUAAGAUAAACAUGCCCUGCCGAUGAUGCCCACGCCAUCAUUGCAUAACUAGAUCUUUAAUUUCAGUGAGGCGCACAACUAUCAGUGGAGUUAUCUCUGCAUCUGAUACUUCAGAUAUGUUUGUCACGGCGGCCCGGUCAUGUGACAGAGAUGGCAGUGGCCAGUGGCGCGGUGGACCAGCAUGAGGAGGCACAGAGGCAAGCAGCAAGCUAUAGCUCCAGGAGCCAAUGACAUGGCCCAUGGCCCCAACCAACCUCUAUCUCUGCUGGACACAAUAUAUAUGCAUGCAGUGUGUGUAUACUGUGAUCAUUAGAUGCUGAUGCAUUUGUUCUCAUCUGCAAUUUGUGGAUCAUCAUAUAUUAGCCAUCGGCAGGGCUUGGAGCUUUAUCCAAGAAUUCGGCUAUCCAGGGGCAAAGCGGCAGCAGAUAGAGAUCACACGCUAAGAACUCGGGAUGAUUGCGCUGGAGCAUGGAUCGCAGACAGAGUCAGGAGCUGGUGAUGUGACAUGGGAUCGCAAUCAUCGUCCCCAGAACGGCGGCGAGUCCUGUCACCGUGCCGGCCCCGGCAACUCCCCUGCCUGCUGAUGGUUCUGCCGGCUGCCGGCCUAUAUCCGCGUCGUCCGCGCCUGGCAAUGCAACCCCGCCGCCGCGCAUGGCCCCCGCCGGCGUCCGCGUCUUCUCCGCCGCCUUGCCAGCGAGGCCGCGCUUGGGCUGGUGCGCCGGAGAUGGAUGCCGACGAGAGCAGCGCUGGAGCAGAAGCCGACGAGAACACCGACAUUCAAUUGUUCCAUUGACCAUCUUUAAUCAAAUUGUAGAAUGUUUAUAAAUGUUUGGAAGAUAAUAUAUUGUUUAUACAUAUAAAAUAGUCAGGACAAUAUGUUUGUUAGAACAUUUAUAUAUGUUAGAACAUUAUAAAAUGUUUCAAAGGAAAAUGGUCCAUGAAAUAAAUUUAAAUGUUCCGGAGAAAAUAUUCUGAGAUAAGUAAAAAUAUUCCAUAAAGUAUAAUUUAAGCAUAAUCAAUAUUUUUUGAACUAUAUCUUUUUUCUAUCCUUAUUUGCACAAGAAUCAAUACUGUCGGUACAUAUAGACAGGGGUACCUCCUGCCAGUGUGUCCGUUCAGAGAGGCGCGGGGUUAUCCGUAACCUCGCACUAAGUCUUUAGGUGACGGGGCGUACGGCACAGGGCUGACAGCUGGGAACACGGUCUCCGGACUUCCCCCCACGCUCUAGCAGGUCCGGCGCCUCCACGUGCCCACGAGGACAAGGUUCUCAGGAACAGCUACUGCUGGCCCCGACCACCACGGGGUGGUCUUGGGCCCCUACGUGUGAAGGCCGGACCCCCAGGGGAUCUGUGCGCCUGUGCUAGCCAGGGCGGCACCGGACCUCCUCCCCGCAUACCUCCCUUCCCUCCUCCCCGGAUACCUCCCUUCCCUCCAGGGAGGAGGUCCGGUGCCGCCACAUGCCCCUGGGGAAGCGGCUGCUAAAACCAUCACCGCCACGUAUCCGGUGGCAGCUAGUCUUCUACGGGAAGCCAGCCCAACCACCGUAUUAAAUGCGGGUGGUUGGGGUGCGCGUGCCCGAGACAGAGUAUGGACUGUCCACUGAUAUAUUGGGCAGGUAUGCUGACACCACGGUAAGCCCGCCAGUUACCGAGGUGGUGCGUCGCAUCACCGCACUGCGUGCGCGGGCGAGCGGCGUGUAGUCACAUCACGGCGCCGCGCGCGUGAGCGAAGGGUCAUAAUGACCUGCUGCAGGAGGGUCGCGGCGUGCGCUGCUACAGUGCGCGGAGGCUACAGCACAGCAGGUCAACAUCGCCCCUUCGCCUGUCAGCGGGAACUGAUCCUACAGACAACACAUGACACUGACAGCAGAUACUGUGCUAGCGAGACGGCACAUGAUCAUGCCCUAGUAGAGGAUACGUACGGGAGCUAAAGAGGAAGAUUUCCGAAUCUGUAGCAUUUAAAGCUCUAAUAUGUACGCCGGGUUCACCUGUUGGGACCCCGCUCAGUGUACGCGCCCCCCUUGAGCCUAUAAAUAGGAGGGCGCGCACGUUAGAACUCAAGUUUUUCCAAAGUCCCAGAAGCGCUCAAGCUUAGGCACACCCGCAGAAGCUCUCAAGCGCUCAAGCACACAAGCUUUCUCGCAAGCAAUACAACACACAGUGGAUGCAGGGUCUUACGCUCCGACGGCCUGGACCACUCUAAACACUUGUAUGCUUUCCGUAUUCAUACGCCUCGAUCUAGCAUUCCUUAACUUCCUCAAACUCAUCCUAAAUUAGAAUUAGGCGAGUACACUCCGCCACCCGGCUGGAGAAAUUCUCCGACAAAUACAAUGUCAGCGCUUUCCUCCGUUGGACCAUGCCCGCUGCGUGAGAAUGAAAAAAAGAAGAAAGAAAGUGAAAAAAAAGGAAGAAAGAAACGAACUGGGCGAUAAAACAAAUAGUUGAAGCUACGCCAUCGUGGGCCGUGCGCUUGCAAGUUUCGGCCUGCGUGGCUGUGUUCUGCGACGGCUGAGACGCCAGUUGCAUGUGCGGAGAAAGGGAGCGGGGACUAGUCAACCCAGCUUGCACGCAGACAGGAUCACAGGACCCACGGCGUGGUUGGUCGCUUGCGUUGCGUCGCUCGUCCUCCGGACUCGACGCAAACGGCGGGCCAGGCUACUGAAAUCGGGGGCCCACCUCACCGCUCACGGCUCCGGCAUCAGCAGCCAGGAGACGUCCACGUCACGCGGGAUCCCUCUCCGCGUCUGCUCUGCCUGCCGAGUUGUCAAAAACCAGCCACAUGAAAGGACACAGCACACUAGCAGAUAUGAAUGAAGGGCGUUUUUUGUCUGAAAAAUGGCAAAAUUUCACACAACAGUGAUCGAUUUGAAACGGACCUAAGUGGCCAUCCAUCCUUGUAAGAUGACGGCGUCAAGCGCACUAUCGCACCACUACUUCUCUUUUGUCGAAACAAAACGAGAGGAAAGAAAGGAUUCCUGCAAAUUUGAGAUCCAUUCCUGGAAUACAAGUUGUGGUAUCCAACCUUCCAUUUUAUCUGUUCCAAUGGACCAGCCAGCGUGCUCGCCGCCGGCACAUGCAUGGCUCUUGUUUGACCGAGAAAAUCAACAGCGUGCCUUUUUCUUUGACAUGAUUCGAAUGGAGAGAUGACUGAAGAGACCAGGAAUAAAACGGGGAUUGGAGCAGAAGAAAGUCAAGUCAAGAGGAUUUUCGGCAUGGAAUAGGCUAACUAAUGAUCAUCGAUCAGCACAAAUUCUUGUCACUGCUACUAGCUAGACGCUGGUGCUCGGGGCAAAUUAGUUGCAGAUCCGCGUGCGUCAUCCUCAUCAGGCCUCUAAACACAUGCCUCGCACCAGGAGGAUUUCAGAUAACAAAUUUAUGGUUUGUUCGGGUUUCAUUUUAGUUUAUUAGCUGUUUGUUAAAAAAUUAUAAAAGUAUAUGGUAUUCUCUUGGUUCAGCAUGCAAGUCGUUUAAUGAAUUAUACGUACCAAACUUAUUUUUAACUCAUGACCAUGAUAUAUAAAGUUUACAUAGAUGAUGAUUUUGAGAUAAAUCUUAUGUUAUGAUACUAGAUUCAUCAUGAAAAGUAUUUGUAAACUAAUUUAAAACCAGACAAACCCACUACAAGUCAUUUUACUUACGAGCAAGAUCCCACGAAGUAUGGUGUAAACAACAUCACGAGGCCACCUCAUUUUGUGCGUGGAGCACAAAUCAAAACAAAAAAAAAAUACUAUAAGCGUCACAUGAUUGCAAGCUUUCUUGUUACCGUGUCAGCUUGGAUCUUAAUUCUAGACUAGAAGCGCCAGAACUCCCUUUGGUCAAAAUACUAGAAACCAUUUACUUUUAAGGUCAUAUGAUUGCAAACUUUGACCACUAAUUUCUACUGCAAUGCGGUUAUAACAUCUACUCCCUCCGUUCCAAAUUGUAUGUCGUUUUGGUAAAUCUGUAUACAUAGUUUUUGCUACGUAUACGCUGUGCCUAAUUUAUAUAUCAUGAUUGGCUAAAACGAGGUACAACUUGGAAGUAUAACAAACUAAAGGCAUUACAAAACUAUUAUUUUUCAAGACAAAAGCAAAGAAUGAUUUUUACUGCAUAAUCUGAGAGCAAAUAUGACAGGGUUCAAAAGUAGAAGACGAGAAAGAAAAGCCCACCCCACCAUCAUCUUCCAUACAUGCGUCCAACUCAUGUGCAUGGCCGCACAGCCCAGCCGCCAUUUAAAAAAGGCAAAAACACUUGGAGUCUUUCCUGUAAUCACCUCCUGUCGGUGAUUUAGGGUCCGUUCGGAUCCACCCCAAAUAGCAAAACGUCAAAUGGCAAAAUUUUUGCUCCUGUCACCUCAGAUGUUUGGACGCUAAUUAGAAGUAUUAAAUAUAGUUUAAUUAAAAAACUAAUUACAUAGAUGAGGACUAAAUGACGAGACGAAUCUAUUAAGCCUAAUUAAUUCAUAAUUAGCAAAAUUACGGUAGUAUUUGCCCUUAUGCACUUUGGGGUGUUUGGAUCCAAAAGUGCAAAAAAAAGUGCAAAAGAGCAAAAAUUUUGCACUUUCUGUUUCUCUUUCCCAUUCAUCCGAACGCAGCCUAGCACUUCCCCCAGGUAUCAUUAGCCAGCUAGCUACACUACACGAACUCGAAACAACCCACCUACAGCUCACCGCGCACCCACCCGAGCCGAACCCCAACCGUCGCUGCCACGCGGGCCCCGUAAACCCCCCGGCCCCACCCCUCCCGCCCCUCUAGAAGCCGCCUCCCCGGCGACCGGCUGCACCCGGUCCCGGGCAGCGGCUGACCGGCAGCCUCCGCGCCGCCCUUCUUCCACCCUCCCGGUCACCUCACCUCCUCCACCUCCCCCACGAGGGAAAAGUUUUUUUUUUUCCUCCCCCUGUUAACAGCACGCGCAGCGAAGCAACCCAGCAGCAACAAAAGAGGCGAGCCUUUUCGCUCGCCGCUGCCACCGCCGCCACCUCGUCGCCUCGCCUCGGCCUCGCGCGCGCGCGGGGGAUCUCGCGCUCGCUCGCCGCACGCACCGAGGAGGGAGGGAGGGAGGGAGGGCGCUCCCGUACGCAGGUGAGGGGCGGGUCGGUUGGGCUGCGGCGAUCCGGGGGGCGGAUCUGGCCGGAUCUCGGGGCAUUUCGGCGGGGUUUUGGGUGUGAUUUUGUUUGCUCGGCUGUGGGUUCGCAGGGUUUGGAGGCGCGGGGCGAUCCGGCGGCGAUGGGAAGCAGGGUCAAGGAGGACGAGAGGCACGAGCGGAUCAUACGGGGACUGCUCAAGCUGCCCGCCAACAAGCGUUGCAUCAACUGCAACAACUUGGUGAGUCCCCUCGCCCGGAUUUCUCGAGCGCGCUUGCUAAAUGUGGACGGGUUUGGGGGAUGAGAAGCUAGAAGGUGGGGUUGCUUGUUUGAGCUCGCUCGGGUUGGCUUGGCUGGGCUGCACCCACCGCAAUGCCUCGUUGCUUGUUGCUGCGAAUGGUGCACGCACGGCAUACCGGGAGGUUUCAUUUUUUGUUCGGAGACUGGCGUUUUAUUGGGUUGUUUAAGAUUCAAGCCCUGCUGAAAUGGAAUGGUAUGCAGCCUUGACGCAGGAGAUUAGGAUUAGCUUCAUCAUUGUCGUAGUCGCACAACAUUGUUUCGCUGCCUGCAAGAUAUGCGGCCGUUACGAUUCUCUGUCUUAUUUGCAUGACGUUUUGGACCUAAAACUAGAAUGCAGCGAGUCAAUGAUUAACAGGAAUUCAACCUAUUUGAUUAUGAAAUAUGCAUUGUUUGUGCCUCGAAGUGGAUAGCUAGCAAUGACCAAGGCAAUCAAAUGCAAAAGUUGUGCCUGAGGCAUGAGGUACUUGUAUUGUCUUAUGUUUAGGAAACAAUACAUUGAUCUUCCACCAUAUUUAGGGCCUUGUGACUUUAUAAGCAAAAAUGAGAAGGAAAUAUCUCCUUGUAAAUGAAAAAAAAGACUUAUAAAUUUCAGAGAAUAUAUAUUAAGGAAGUUUCAUGUAUAAGUUGAUAUCAUGUCAGAUCAUUUUGUUAAUAUCAUACUUCGUAGUGUAUUCACCUAUGCGGCACAUGAAUGAUGUUAAAAAACAAACUAAUAUUUAAGCCAAAGAUCUCAAAACACCUGCUAUUUGUGGAACUGCAUUUUGUUUUGUUAAGGACCUACUAAAUGCCCGUGGUUAGGAGUUAGGACUACCCUACUGCCCUUUUCCUUCUUUUUUUCUUCUUCCUCACAGGAGCUCUGUCAUGCUGGGAGGUGAUGCUUGAGGUUACUCUACUCCCUUAGUGGCCAAGUAGACAUCGUGUGUGCAUUUGACUGAACUGCUACCUUGUAUCUCAGCAAACGCCGGCCAUUAGUAUCCUUAUAUUCCAUUUUCCUUUUAAAGUGAACUGACGAGUUUUAACUGCUGGAUAACUUGUCUACCUUGUUUCCUCUUUUGCACUGAUUUGCUUACCUUGUCCACUUAAAAGUGUAUUGAUUCUGCAGGACCUUCUGUACAUAUCUUGCUUAGAUAUUAGAAUUGUAUUUGUUUAUCAGGACAUCCCCCCUACUGUUCCGCUCAAAAUAAGAACAAUGAUAUGCAUAUGCUGAUUUGAACAGGGACCACAAUAUGUCUGCACAAAUUUCUGGACCUUCGUUUGUACCAAUUGCAGUGGAGCACAGUAAGAUUCUUAUUCAGUCCUCUUUCAGUUUAGAUGACCAAGCACUCUAGCUUUCCCCUUCGUUUUGUUUAAUCAUGUUUGAUUUGAUGGAGUGAACUAACGGGCCCACUAGUCCGGCAGUCCCCACUCCUCAAUUUAGAUAUGUUGCUCCUUUUGUUAAUAAAUCACUUUGUUUUUUCUCCUAGUCGGGAGUUCACGCAUCGAGUGAAAUCAAUUUCCAUGGCCAAAUUUACCGCGCAAGAAGUUACGGCCCUUCAAGAAGGAGGAAACGAGGUAGCUUCUCUCUCACCUGUUUUUCUAGUUUUCUGUAAAUUUGAUGUCUUCUAUUUACGGCAUCGUUUUGCUUGACCUGUAGCGUGCUAGAGAAGUAUUUUUCAAGGAAUGGGAUCCUCAACGCAAUGGAUACCCUGACAGCAGGUUACCUUCUUUUUUUAGUAAUUCCUUCUUUUUGGACACAACCACUUUACUUCGUAUUCGGAAGCAUGAUACGUUUCUUUUGGUCUCAGUAAUGUUGAUAAAUUGAGAAACUUCAUUAAGCAUGUGUAUGUGGAACGAAGAUACACAGGAGAAAGAAGUACUGAUAGGCCACCUAGGGGAAAGGUGAUGCUGUCUCCUUACUGCUCUAAGAGUUUCUCCUCUGUAACCAAUCCCUAUUCACUCUGCUGAUUGAUUGCCAUCUUUCAGGAUGACAAGGACGAGUAUAGUGAAAAUAGGAGAUCUGAUGGAAAUUGGGGUGGUUCAAGAAGUCCACCAAAUGGAAGUUAUUCUGACCGUCGGAGUUAUAGUGGACGGAGUGAUGACAGAAACUCCAGAUAUUCCUAUGGAGAUCGUAGUCCUGGCUAUGACCAAAAUGACUAUAAGAAAAGUCCUCGCUACUUUGAGGGUGUCGAUGAUAGAUCUGGAAAAACAACUCCGGUUCAAAGGUUUGAGGACCGCAGGUUUUCCGAACCAAGGAGGCCAGAUAGUGGAUCUCCAGACUUUCAGAAAGAAGCAGAUGGUUCUAGUCCUGUUGUACGGCCAGUGAGGGAUAUAUUGGGUGACAAUGCUCCUCAACUUCGGGUUGGUGAGCCUUCAAAGCCAGCUGCUGAACCUCCGAAACCAACUGUACCCAGACCAAUUGAUCCUCCAAAGCCAACUGUAGCCAGACCGAUUGAUCCUCCAAAGCCAAAUGGAACCAGGGCAAUUGAUCCUCCACCAUUGGCAAAGGUUGUACUUGACACUCCUGACAUUUCUGUUCUUUUAGAAUCACUUUUGGAUUCUAUCGAAAUAUCAGCAUACUAUUGUGUGCAUGUUCUUUUUAAGCUGGAAUUCGAUAAAAGAGAUCUUAUUGUUCCUCUUGUGUGUUCAUAAUGUAGACGAUGUCUAGUGCCAGCAGCAUUGCUUCUUCUGAGGGGACUUCAGAACCGACGAAGGUCACAAAUGCAGUGAGUUUAAUUGAUUUUAGUGCAGAUCCUGAACCUCCUGCACCUGCACCACCACCACAGCCAGCCUCUACGACUCAACAGCAUCCUGUUAAUGCAAUGGCACCACAGCCUGUUCAUGAACAAGGGAAAAGUCCUUCUGUGAGUGGUGGUGACUGGGCCUCUUUUGAUGCUUUUGGCCAACAACAAACACCACAAACAAGCAGCAGUGCAAAUCCACUUGAGUCUGCACUUGCGCAGCUGUCAUUCUCCGAAGCACCCUCUGCACGCAAUGUGUCAGCUUUUCCAGCUUCAAUUGGUCCCACUCUGAAACCGAAUGAUGGAGGACAUUCAUCCAUUGUAGAUCAGUCACAUAACUUGUUUGAUGCGCCCUUUGGAAUCUCAGGCAACCAGGUAGUUAUGUUUGCAUGAAAACUUCAAGGUGUAUACACUCAGCCCAUUUUCCUAAAAAAAUAGUUCACUUGAUUCCUUUCUUAGGCCCCAACAGUAAUGUCCAACCAAGGAUCUGCAGUUCAACAAUCACCUCUUGCUGCCCAUACAGCUGGACUUCCAUCUCAAGUAACUGCAAAACAACAAGGAACCAGUGGUAUUCAAGGAGCAGCUUCUACUGACAGUAAAUCCAGUGGCAGGAAAGAACUUCCAGCGGUACGUCAUAUGCAACUAUUUGUGUGUUUGUAUCUUCUCACAUUGGUGAGCUAUUUCUUGAUUCCAUGUAAUACCAUUUAAUGUAUUACGUCCUCUGUUCCAAAUUUAGGUUGUUUUAGUUUUGUCCUAAGCCAAACUUCUCGAACUUAGAUCAGGUUUAUAGGAACUAUCAUGUGGACUUAUAAUGUUCUGAUAUAGGUGCAGUUUUGUAGAACAAUUCAUGCCUUGGUACGGCCACAUUUUUUUUAUUUUAUGUGUUUGAAUGCACUAUCUGGGUUGGCUGACAAAUUACUCAGGAAGAAAAUAAUGAUUAGUUUUUUUUAAAAAAAAGUUGUUCAAGCCAUGAUUAGGUGGAAAAAUCAUCAUAAUUAUUGCUUUGAACCUUUGGUUUCUGUAGAGUAGCACUUUGAAUGACCAGAAAUGCUUGCUAAUCCAUACAUAUUGGUACACUUGUGUUCUCUUUUUAUUAUCACUCGUGUUCAUUUGCAAGAUUGUUAUCCAAUUGUCAAUUGAAGAAAAGUGUACAAGUUGUAGAAAAUAAAUAUAUGUUGAUGGAUCUGACACCAUGCCUUUCAACAAAGUCAUUUACACAUACUUGACAGACUAAACUUGUCACAGGAUAUCUUUGCUGCACUAUAUCCAACAUCAACUCCAAUGAUGCCUGGUUGGCAAAGAGCUCCCCAAUUUGGAAUGGGAUAUGGCAUGCAAUAUCCUGCUGGAGUGGUAUCUUUUCAUUCUCAUGUCUAGUAUAUUAUGCACCUGAGUUGGUACUAUUUUUUUUUAUCGGGGCAUCUGUGUUCUUACCCCUACUUUACAGUACAAUUGUGAUUUUACCCUCAUUUUUCUUAACUUUGUAAUUUGCCGUUACUGAAUCAAGUCAACGCGAUUUUGCCCCUAGUCAACGGUCAAAACAGGGGCAGAAUUGCGUUGAAUAGGGGCAAAAUCACGUUGACUUGUGAAUAGUAAGGGCAAGAUCACAAAGUUAAGAAAAACGAGGGUAUAACCACAAUUGCACUGCAAAGUAGGGGCAAGAACACCAAUUUCUCUUUUUUAUCUUACACAUGGAAUGCUCUGCCAGUUCCAGGGAUUGCAAGGAUAUCCUCAAGCAGCGUUUCCUCAACCCACAUAUCAACAACCUGUAUAUCCGCAACAUGCAAAUCCGCAACAUGCAUAUCCCCAACCCCAACCCCAACCUGUGAAAGCUUCAAAUCCUUUUGAUCUUGGGAAUGAACCAGCUCCAAUUCAAGCUCACAUGGUAUGAUUAAAGUGUCUAUUUUAGAAAGGGAUCUUUUUCCAUAUUCUGCAUGCUUAUUUUGUUAACAUGUACGUUACUUGUUCCAUUAACAUAAUUGUAUAUUUCCGCAGCCCCUAUCUGGCCCCCCAGGAGCAUCAGCAGGCACAACUCCCCAAACCUUACUUGGCACCUCUAGUUUUGGUGUUCCUCCACAGCAACCUCACCAGCUCUAUCAAUCGGCCGCACCUCCAAGUAAUUACAUAUUUAGCCAUCACAAUCUUGCUCUUUGUUACCAAUAUUUUUGCAUGCUGUGCUAAUUUUUGCUUCAAUUCAGGUCCUUUCAUGAUGCAGCAAGUUCAAAACAGCAUGCCCCAGCAACCACCUAAUAGCAUGCAUGCCAUGUGAGUAAAUACUAUUUUUACUAAAUCUUCCCAAGUGACUAUGCAAAUGUGAUUUAAUUAUUGAUUUGUUCUAUCUGUCGCAUCCCUGGAUUAUGCUAAAAGCAACCUACUUUAAACUACAAAACAUCAACCUGUCCGAAAACACCUGAUCUGGUUUCAACUAACGUGUGACACUGACAUCACAGGCAACAAGGUCUGGGUUCCUUGAACAUGGGUUUUGAUCAGCAAGUUCCUCCCAGAUACCCCCAGCCAGGCACCCCACCUUCCUACGGCUCUGUUGCGGGUAGCAAUCCUUUUGGGUAAAAGAACUAUUCAAUGUUGAAAUACCUGUACUUUCUUCACCAGACCAAGGGUUUGCAGCACUCGGCGGGACAAACAUGCAUCGACACCCUCAAAGAGAAUGUGUUUCAUACAACCGGUUGUGUAUUUUGUUGCCCGUAAUCUGUUGUACAACUUGUUUCCAAGCGAAUGUAACUCUUGUUUUGGAGGGCGUGAGAUGCAUGCCGCCCCAUUCCUUGUAUAUUUUGUGUCCGGCGCAUUCUGCUUGUAUUGCAUAGUUUGUAUAUUUUGCAUUCGUUUGUUAUCUUGGAGAAUAUCAGAUGUAUUAGCUCAGCAUGUCGUUUCUAGUGCAGUUGGAUAUUCAAUUUACUGUGGAUGAUAUAGGACUGUAUACUCGAUCAGGUGUAUAAUUGUGAUAACUGGUACAACCAAUUUUGUUAUUUUGCCUACUGUGUUGGGAAGAUCAUUUAUUUCUUUUGUGGAAUUUCCGUGAGAAAAUUUCAAAUUCUGUUUGUAUUAUUAGGAUUUUUUUUUCACGGACACAAACGACUUACAGGUUUGGCGUAUAAAUGGAAAAUAUUAUUUAUAAGUACGGCACCAAAAUUUGAUAGCCCAUAUAGGCCCAACUCGACGCAAUUUCAGCCUAGCCUUGCACCGCGUCAUACCAGCCAAAUCAGACCACCCGGAAGUUUGACUGUUCACUGACGAUUGUUCAGCCAAAUCAAAAUUAUAAACACGGGUUACCAGAAAACCUCCAGCUGUAAACUUAUUCACUACCAUUCCAAAGGUAAAACAUAAUGAUACACAGCUCCCAAGUCCAAUAUACAUCACAGGUAAAACAUCCUGAAUUCGACAAGCUACUACCCUAUGUACCUAGUAAAAUAUCACGCCUCCGGUUGCCACUCACCAAAUCUCGGUGAAACAGAGUAUCUCAGAUGGUACGCUAUAAAAUGUCUGCAAAACCUAAAGAUCUGAUCUAUAUGUAAAAAAGGAAGCACAAAAUUUCCUAUCGGGCACGAUGAUGGAGUGCUGAUUAAUUGUGAUCCAACUUCGUAAUGGACAAGCCAAUCCUAGGGCGUGUCCGGUGCUUGAGAAAAAUGGCUUUCACGAAAUCUGGGUAACAGUCAGCAACCUACAGCCGAAAAUUAUAGAAUUAAUAACUCAAAGGUUCUGUGCUGAAUAACUCACUGUAUACUUGGAAUAAUAUCUCACCUUUACAACUAAACAAUUGAAGCAAAGUUGCUGUCCCAUUGAUCCACUAUUGUUCAGGCGUCAGCACUGCAAUGAGAAGAGAGCCAUUAGAAACAUUUUUAUCAAUUUGUACUGUUAGCAAACAAAAAUACUAACAAAAACGAUAGAAAACCAAAUUAACAUCAUUACAGGAAUCUAUGCUAUCUCUAGCACUCUGGUGCAAAAGAACUAAUGCUAUCUCAGUGCAGUUUGCCUAUCAAAGAUUAGAUCAUUUACUACCCAUGUGUAUAAUGUUGCAUAUAAUCAAUCAGGCAAAAGGCACCAAGAAAGCAGGCACUACUUACAGAAACAGGAACAUAUUAAGUACAACACCACAAGGGAAGACAGACACUUUUUGAAAAAGUUUGACCAAACCCGUAAUAAAAUUAAUGGAAUUUUAUCUUGAUCAAAACUCUCCCUGAACUGCCAUACUGCUACAGAUAAGGGCAACUGAAGGAUAUAUCCAGAACAGAUCACCCAGCAGGUGUUUCCUAAGAUCACUGGUGCACUGGGAGGGAAGACCAGGAAAAAUAAGGUAUUUAGGACUGUACACUUGCUCAACUACAGCUUUUAUGCUGAUGGUUCUUCAUUUUUCGUACCCCACUGUUCCUCACUACUAUUUCCAUUCACAAGGACAGCACCAUCAGUUGAACCCUCAGCCUCAACCUCAACAGCAUCGUCUUGACUCUCUUCUACUUCGGCAUCCUCAGCAUCAACCUCAACAGCAUCUUCUUGACUCUCUUCUACCCCACCAUCCUCAACUACCUGUUGAAUAAAGAUCUGUUUUCUCAGUUUUGCAAAAAUAGUAAAUAAAGAGUAGCAAUGAAGCAAGUAAUUGCAGUGAAAAUAACAAAAAUACUGAAAGAAUGAAAAAUAGUAACAGUUUUGAGCUGGAACGAACUUUAGAAGCACAUCAACUUACUGACUCAACACGAGCCUUAUGCUGUAAGCUUGGAGUUUUUCAGAUUGAUAAAAUUCAAAAACUCCACUUGCUGAUUAUUAAGCAUGAAAGGAAAACAUGUAGUGUGUCCCACUAGUAAGCAAUGAUGUGAAACUAACCACAGGUUCCAAAACAAGCAAAUUUAAUUAAAACUGACAUGCACGACUAAUUGGUCUAUUUUCAAUUUCGAACUAGUUUUGCAUCAACGGCAUUUGACAGGUUAUACAACAGAUCAAAUUGGCAUAAAAAGAGAUGCAAACUAACAUCACAAAACCAUCCAACCUUUCCACUAGGGAAUAAUAGUUGAAUCAACAAGUGAAUAACAGCAUGAAACACUUUUGAAUGCCUGCUCAUGGUAGUACCUCAUCAACAGCAUCUUCAAUAUCAUCUGGUAGCGCCUCUUCAUGUACAUGCAUAUUUUUGAAAGCUUCUACUAAACUCUCACUUGACCUUUCGGCAUGAUUCAUGUACUCCUCUGCCGGUGGAUAGAUACCCCUAUUCAAACAAUUUUUUUUGUGUGUGACCAUCAGUAAAAAUGAUAGUUUGGGAAAAGAUAGGAGUAUUGACAUCAUUUCUGAUUUUCAUCAAAUGAGCCCAAUUAAAGCAAAAUCUAAACCCUCAUCCGAUGCAUGGAAGAGGUAACCAGGGGCAACUUUGCAAAAGGAUAGAGCUAUAUGAAGAUAGAAAAUAACAAUAACCUUUUGGGGGCAACAGUAGCUUCUACAUUGAGAGCAAUCUGCCAGUCAUCAAAUAAGUUCGGGUACUCAUUAGGGUCAGCCAGCGACUCUGCUGCUUUGGGGUUUACCUAGAAAACCAAUGGAACAAAAAAAGGUGCACAGUUUAGUAAGCCCCUGCAAUUUAUAAGACAUCAAGGUAAAUAUCAAGACCUCAUGAUUUUGGCUAUUUUUUUGGCAUAAUACACAACCAUUCUGAAUUUAGUGUACUCUAUUGAUAUUAUCUGGCACAUUGUGUUUUUCAAAUUUGAAAACAUCCUUAUAAGUGAAUUAAGAAUAAACACCACAAGUGGACUGUAUCAUGGUUAUGCUAAAAACAAACUUGAAUGUGUAACUUAAGGCAAAGUGUCAGUUUAUGAUAAGAAGAUACACACGCAAAGAUAAAGUUGACAUAAUGAAGAUCUGAAAUAUUUAGCAUAAAAGUGAGUAUAAGGAAUCAAACGAGAUUUGUAGACAGAAGACCUUUUGGAGAUCCUUUUUCCACAAUGCUAUGAUCUCAGGGACUUUGCUAGGAAGAUAAGAUCUUGCCAUCAAUGCUGCUUCCGGAAUACGAUUGCUGUAUAAGGGAUGGUAAAUGAUCAAUAUAAAACAAGGGUUAAGAAUUGUAUUAAACAGGACAGUCUUGCCCGAUGCCUCUACCUUUCUAUUAACAGUUGAAGGCAUUCUUCCAACUUUCCUAGCAUGAAGAAACAAAGGAAAGAAACAUUGUUUUUUCCUUGUUCUUUAGCUACAGAUGCCAAUUUUGUAAUACCGUCAGCAUCCCCAAGGGAUGAAUAUAAAAGCAACAAAGCACUAAGGUCCAUAGCAUGUAGAAGACACUCCUCUGCCAUAUCAAGCUGCAGAAAGUUGCAAGACAAUAUACAAAAGUUAAAGAUCUGCAUGGUUGCGUCCUAUACUCAUAAUGCAAUGAAAAAUAACAUUAAAAAAUAGUCUCCACAAAGAACCCUAUUUGUUCAACCUAAUAAGGAAAGAGCAAUAAGCUCAGCACCUCUUUGACAUCAAAUUUGUAAUACAACAUUUGUCUUACAAACGUCCUCAUAAUAUCUAAAUAAUUUUCAGAGUAUUUAUGAACUCAUACAUGAAGAAACUCAAUGUUAUGGCAGAAAAACCAUACUUUAAGUACAGCAUAGAUUGCACAUGUGAGAUAACGAUACACAUACUAGCUGUACCUUUCCAGUUGACAUAGCUAACUCCCCUAGCUGCUUCCACUUGGAUUCACUCUGCACCUCAGUAGCAAUCGCCUGCAAAGCAACUAUUAUGAGAAAAAUGGAAAAUAAUACUUUCUCAAAAAUUUGGGGAAAAAAAAGAGAAAACAACUAUGCCUUUGCAAUUUCAAGUCGACCAAGCUGCACAGCCAGGUCAAAUCUGUAAUUAGUGUCUGUUGCUAUCUCAAGGGCUUCUUCCAACAUUCCCCGUGAUUCCAAGAAACGUGCCACACUGGGAAAAAAAAACCACAUAAGGUUAUGUUUAUAUGCUAAACCCAAAUUGUUGAGUACAACAGUUAGUUAAACAUUGGGCACCUGUCAUAUUGCUCCUUUGGUAUAGAUGAUAAAACAUCAUUUGCACGAUCAAAAUCCCCACGCAUUACAAGUGUUUUAUACUCAAUCAAACUAAGGAGUAAAGUAUACCCCACAACACUGCAAUUAAAAAAUACGUUAGCCACAGAAAUUGUGCAUGGGAACUGCAAGGGAAUAUUAGAGCAACAAAGAUGAACUCACUUAAAUUGCUUAUCGAUAAGAUAGACACGGCUUUGGUUUGCAAGAUAUCCUAAUAAAUACAUAGGCCGAUCCAAGUGAAACAAGGUUGUGACCUGUAACACAUGAAAUGGUUAUGACAUGAUAUAGCUCUAACAAUAAAUGAUCUAACUGAAAAGAAUGCCCUUUUAUGUGAUGAAAAACACUCACCUCUCCUCCUACACAGUAAUUAAGUCGCCAUGAAGAAUUAUUGUAGAUGAAACAAUCACCAACCCAUAGCCCAGUCCGGACACGUUCAUUGAUCUCAUGAAGCAGCUCAAAGGCAUCUUCCACACCUUCUUCACCAACUGAACCCCCUCCAUCCAAAUGAGAUGAAACUACAUCCCUCUAGAAGCCAAAAUAUUACUUCUGUAUCAGUACAUUUAAUUCAACAAAAAAACAAUUCUUUUGUAAAUCCAAAUGUAAAGGUUGCUGUUGCAUAUUAAUAAAUUUGAUAUUUUUAAAAAGUACAUAAGCUGUGAACAUAACAGGAAAGACAACUGAAUGUACACAAUUAAGUUAAUAACACAACUCACAUUAUACUUCAAUAUGUAGAAUGAUGUGUCACUUGCAAUUGUUACCAAGUCACCACUGUCGGCCCAGUAAAGAUUCUACAACAAAGAAAACAGAUAUUUUCAGUGGCAUAACAUUCCAAAUGGCAUGCAUGUAACAAGAAGUUUGAAUCCAUGAAGCAGCAAACUGAGUCACCUUCACAUUGACAUCAAUUCGACGUAUUAACCUGCACUCCGCCCAGUCAUAGAAGCAAAUAAAGUCAUUUGUACACAUAGCUAGUAACACUCCGCCAAAUAUACGUUCUGCGGAAAAUGAUGGCCUUAUACUUUUCUUCUCCUGAAAUGGCCAGCUCCAGUUAUAGACUAUGUUUCAGGAUCCCAUAGCAAAAGAGAAUGAUGCACAGAGCAUAGUAUGCUGUUUACUAAAUGUUCACUGAACAACUUGAUCUGAAGCAAUACAUUAAAAUACAUCUUAAAUACCUUUACAUUGCACAUCACUUAACAAAAAGGGCACCAACACAAGUGAUAGGACAGUUUAUUUUUUUAGUAAAAGAAUUAAUUCAUAACUUCUAUAGUCAUUGUAGCAAAUACUAGGCCACAGAUCGAAUAUGUGGGCCAAUUAGGAAAACAUUUCAAGAUUAUCUUUCAUGGUAUGAUUCACCAGCGAACCCCACAACUAUAAAAGGGAAGUUAAAUAUGAUACCAAGAAUAGGUAUUCAAUGGCUAUUUGUCAGAGACAGACCUAUGGCAGUAUAGACAUAACUUAACAAAACAGUAGCAGGGAAAAGUGAGACAAGUUAUAUUGAGAAAAACCUGGAAAUUUUUACUGUAGAUCUUUAUCCUAGAGGUGCUUUCUCUGACUGCAUAUUCUCCAUCAGUUGACCAAACAAAUUCAAGUGCAGACCCAAAAGAUCUGUUUCUCCAUGCUAAUGCUGUGUAUAUUAUGUAUUCUCCAUCUCCACAUACAACAACAAAUCUCCCAUUUGGAUUGUGCCUUAAGGUCUGAAACAAAUAUCAGUAUUAGUAACUCCAAUGUAAACAAGAUAAAAAAGGACAUGCAUGACCACAAAACAAGUUUCAAAAAGAAAACAAAUUCCUGGUCGUUCAAACAUUUAACGUUGUUCAAAAGAAUCUGCUGUUACCCAUCAGUUUCCCAAAUGACCUAUCACUAAACAUGAACCACACGCAUUUCAUUUUUUGCAUUUGAGCUUAACUGAAACAAGUGCGGGUAACAUAAUCUUCACACAUGUAAAUAUACACAUGGGAAGUAUAAACAUAUAUUUCGAUGUAUAAUUUCAAAGUAUAAAAAUUUUGGAUGCAUGAUGAAAUGAUGUAUUACCACAACAUGAUGUGUUACAAUGACGAUAUGAUGCAUUACCAUGUUUAUGUUGUUUGAACAUUGGAAAGAAAAUUAGAAUUAAUUUUCAAGCAUCUAGUAGACUCGUGAUGAAUGAUAUAACAAUUGAAGUAUGUGUUCAUUCUAUCAGAAGUAAACAUACUUGUGGGUACAGGUCGCAGCUUCCCAACUCCUUCACAGCCAAUGGUAAUCUAUCGCCAUCUGCGAUCUGAAAAAUGAAACAGCUAAGGACCAUAGAGAAAGCUUAUAAUGAACCAAAGAAGUUUACAGCACAAUAGCAUGGUGAACCAACCUCAUUGUCUACACCAACACUCUUGAUAUUAACAGUUUGAAUUUCAUUGUGCUUUGCCCAUAUGAUUUUUCCACUGCUGUCCAUGCUAGCAACAGGAACUUCACGGCCAAUUUUUAUCAUUAUUGUCCCUUCAUCAUAUCCAAUCACAACUCUACACAAAGUAAGACACUCCAUGUCAUUAGCUUAUGCAGGGGGGGGAAAAAUUAACAAAAGGCUCACAACAUGUUCCAUUGAGAACAAAUUCUCAAACACAAAGUUAGGCAGACAAGCAAUUUUACUGUCACAAUGUAUGAGUACAGGAUACGGGAAAAAAAGUACGCAGAAUACUUAUUUCCAGCAGAUAGUUGAGGAAAUGUGAAAAAUACAAUGUAUGCAGCAUGAUUGGGCUGUGGAUUUGAGUGGAGCUUUGAUAGUAGAUUAUAAGACAUGAUGCUCAGUGUCAUCAUGACACUUCACAGGAAGGCAGGGAGGGAGGGAGACUACCUUCUUGACCCCUUCAUAUAUCCUAAAGCCCAAACUCGUUCAAGGCCGUAGUUAAGAGUGUUCUCAAGCCUGUAAGAGUAUCAAGCAAAUUGUUAUUCCCUUGUUCUAUAAGAAAAGAAGUUGUAAAUGCAUGACAAAACAUAGAAACAUGAUCGCAUUUGAGAUUCAACUCCACCUAGAAAUAUGCAUAUAUGGUAGCUGAUUUAUGACAGUACUAUUCAUCUAAAUCAUAAGCAGAAAGUAGCUGUUUCCAUAUAUUCUUGAGUUUUGACGUCAAAUUGUAGUGCCAUAAUUCAAUAUGAGGAACUCAAAAUUCAAGGGAUUUUAUAAUCACACCAGUUCUACAUAAAAUGGUGAGUCCAAGAAUUCCUUUUGUCAACAUUGCAGGAGAAAGCACAACUCCAAGAAAUCUCUUUUUCUCAACACUUCUAUGUUAGAGGAGCUAAUAGCUUCAACAGUUUAUGGUCUUAAACUAUUCUAGCCAUAAAUGCCAUGAUGGACUGUUGGACUGCUACUACUGUCAUCAGUCCAACACAUUAUAAUAUAUGAGAACAUUAGUAUUGUAAACCCAUGUUUAUUCAAUCUGAAGUAACAAAAUCUGCUGCAACUGUAAUCAACAAAUAAAGAAUUAAGCUCUAACCCUCUAAAACCUAGUGAUGUGAUGUCAGUAUGUCACAAGUUUAAACCUCAGAUGAAAAUAACAAAUUUCAAUUCCUUUUGUCCCAAACAGGUUAAAGCUCGAAUUAAACAACAUAAUAAAGUUUUAUCAUAGAAACUGCCAACAAACUUUAGUGGCUGCCAGAUUUGGCCUCAAAAUGACAGCAUACUUACAUUUAUGGGCUAGUGACAUGCAUGUCAGGGGCACUAACUAGAUGAGAAGCAAUACCUGUAGGUAGUAGAGUGCCACAUUCGAACUGUCCCAUCCUCUGAGCCAGUAAUUAUUAUAGGUAGCUCCGGAUGGAAACAUACAGCAGACACAUUAUGUGCAUGUCCUUCAAGUGUUUGAACACAGCUCUUUGUUUGGUAAUCCCAAACCUGAUUUGACCAAUAACGUCAUCACAAUGUACUUAUACGCUUACAGGAGUACAAUUCAGUGCGUAUAACAAACCUUUGCGGUCUGAUCAUCUGAGCCAGUAAUUAAGUAAGGUCGAUCGCCACCAGUGAAGUAAUCAACACAGUUCACACCUUUUGAAUGGCCAUCUAGUGUAAAGUUAGGGUCAGGAGAACCAAGGCUCCAUAUCUGAAAUAAAAAGAAGUAUAUUGGAUAUGAUGGUCAAGCUAAGAAAAAGAUAAUGUCAAUAAAUAAUACACAGAUUUUGACCAACAAGAAGUUAUGAAGGGGAGAUAACGCAAACCUUUAUUGUGCGAUCAAGGGAGGCACUAGCAAAAGUGUUGGUAUCUUUUGGGUUAAAUGUGACUUGCAUCACAUAGUGAGAAUGUCCCUCAAAGAUUUGAGUGCACACCCAGCCUUUAUCCCAAUCCCAUAGCUUAAUCAGCAUGUCAUCGGAAGACGACAGGACAAAAGGCUGGGUAGGAUGAACAGCCACACACCUAAUGUAGUCAGUAUGAGCUUCGAAAACCUUGACCUUAUCCAUUGUAUUGUAAUUGUACACACGGAUGAACAUAUCAUCGGCACCAGCAACUACCCAUUGCUUUCGUGAAAUAAAUUUGGCCGAACGAACUGAAAUUGGCAUGGAUAUAUUAGCAUGAUGCCAUAUAAGUGAAGAGAAGUAAGCAGAAAGUUGGGCAAGCAUACCUGGUAAAUCCGUGACUUCAAAUGAUUUCACCAUUGUCUGAGGAUAAAUUAAUACAAAUUCAUCAUUUCAAGCUUAAUAACAAACCUACCAUGUAAUAUUUCUAAAUUUUAAAAGUAAUUGCAUCACUUUUUUCCUUUUUGUUCCCUUCCAAAUAAUAAAUCUACAAGGUGUAUGCUUCUCCUUUCUUUAUUCCAACACUGGUGUCUAUCCUUGUGUUUGCCUUUUUCUUUUUUUACUAUCUGUGGUCUGUCGACCCUUUACAAGUUAGUUAUAAGCUCGUCUUAUGCAACAAACACCCAUACACCUCAGCAACCUUCAGGCAGGUCUUGUCACUUUUGUCUUUGAGUCCAUUACACUUUCUUUUUGCAGACACCAUUAAAUCUUUCCUCUAUGGGUUUUAUGUAAUCAGUAAUCCAUCCAUUCCUAUUUAUCGCUAACAUAUCGCUAAGUUCUUUAUUGCAUACACCCAAAAUGCCCAUGUGUCUUGAUCUCUAUAGUGAACGCAAUAUACAAGUGAUGGGUAGUCAUCAUAGCAUAAAACAGUCGUCCAACAACCCCAUUUAGUAGAGAAACCGAGACAUAAGCUACUGUGAAGCAUGAACAGUCACCUACCUGCGUCUGGUAGUUCCAGAUGCAAACGCUCCCCGAGUACAGACUUGACAAAAUCCUGCAUUACACCACACAAACAAUAAUGUGAUUAGCUGCGGCUUGGUCGAAGCACUCGCAAUUCACACAGCAUUUCUGCACACGUAACCAGACACUCACCAUGGCUCUGUCGGAUGCAGAUCCACGGACUUGACCCUCUCCGACCUCUGCGCGAGCUUCCUCUGAUCCAAACAACCAAACGGACAACCACCAUCAGCGAAACGACCCAGAAAAAAAUUACCGAUAGAAACCGCGACGCAGAAAAGCAACGGAUCCAAGUGAGAGGCGUCGCGAGUACCUUGAUAUCCAACCGGAGCGGCUGCCGCACCACGCCCACCGCCCGCCCACCACCACCACAGGCAGAGAAAAAAGGCAAUCACGUCAGCACACAACGACGGAAACCGCCAGAUCCACGCGGAUUUCGACCAGUCCCGCCGCGGAUCUCGCUGCCCCGCGAGCCACCACGCCGGCACGAGCGGCCCAACGGGCGCGAUCUCGCGCUCGGGGCGGCGGAGCAGCGAGGCGGGAGCUGGACGAGGGUGAGAAGGACGAGAGAGAGGCGCGUGCACGUACCAUGGUGGCGCCCGCGACGGCUACGGCGGGGGCAGCGGCGAGGCGAGGAGGGUGGCGCGCGGAGGCGCAGCCGCGGAGGCGGUACUUCUAGGGUUUGCGGAGCGGGGGGCUGGGUGGGAGCGCGAGGAGCGGGGGCCGCGCGGGCGGUGGCCUCUCGCCGCCGGACGGGGAGGUGCAGGCGCCGCGCGGGGAGAGGUGGGGAGAUUUGCGAGUGCGGGCCUGCGGGGGGCGACGAGGCGGAGAGGGGAGUGGAGAGGUGGCAAGCGGGUUAACGGGUCUCCGAGGUAGCGUGGAUUGGAUCUGAAGGCCGUGUGUUUUCCGGUUGGCCUUUUUGGAUCGUGGGAUGUUGACUUGUACUGCUGACGUAGUGGUUAAGCAAAGCAGGGCAACUAAUUCUAACUUUGGGUGGUUCAAAGAUUUUGAAGUUGGAUUGUUAAACUUGCCUAAAAUGUAUAUAAGUCCAUCGAUCAAUAUCGAUCUUAGUGAAGUAUUUUACCGACUAAUUUGAUGAUGGGGUCUUACGAGCAACUAUUGUCGAAUGAGUGCUAGAAAAUAAUUGUGGUACACAUCACAGCACGCAAAUUACUAAUGGUUUAAUGUGUUAAUUCAUGAAGGAUACGGGAAAACUAAAAAUCAAAUAAUGAAAAUUGAAAUUGGAUCAAUGAAUAUAUCAUUUUGGUAUAUGAGUAGAUUUUUAGCCUUUCAAUAUAUAGCAAUAUGUACCAAAAUAAUAAGAAAUGCAUCUCAACAUGCACGUGGAUAUACUAGCUUUGUCACGGAUCCUGCCCGGAGUUGCUCAUGUUGGUGAAUCGGCACUCUGCAAAGGUAAUGCCACUAUUUUUAUGUUGCUUUUGGCAAGUGUGGAAUGUCCAUGUCCCGCAUAAGGAGGGGAUCUCUCUAUCGUUACAUGAAUGAAUUUCUGAGUUCGUUAUAUGGCAUCACCACUGUUUUUUCAAUGAUUAAAGUGAGAGUAGAGGUGUAUAGGGAAACAAAGUUUAAUUGCUAUGGGAGCCAAGGAGAAGAAACACCAAGAACAUGCUAUAGAAAAGAGAUAGUUCGGCAAUACGAUGGUACUUUUAAAGUUAAUGUUGGUGGUACUUUCAAUCCUGGUAUAUAGCCUCAUGCAUUUCGUGUGGUCAUUCGAUAACACGAAGGGCUAAGCCAAAUCUAACAAUCGAGUGGUUAUUCGAGGACACUGAGGGACCAGAAGCUGCAACAUGCCCCAAGGUAUCCGAUUAACAACACGGCGUCUUGACAAGCCAAAAUGAUCUUAAGGGUUGGGUACUAUUGAGUAGUGAUGAAGCUCCGGAACAUGAAGCAAGGCCGCUCCGGCCGUUGAUAAAAAAGGAGUAAUCAAGACUGGGAGAGCACAUAAUGAAAUGAAGUUGUAUGUGGCCUUAUGCAGUCAGCAAUUAGGUUUAAUGAGAGCUGCUUGUUUUUUCCUUGCUUUUCCAGAGUGUGUUUUCCUUCGUAAUGAUACACUUUGAUAUUCAAUAAUGCUCUUCCCUUUUGAAAAAAAAACUAUGUGCAUCAAUUUUUUUAUAGAUGCAUAAAGAUUUAGCUAGAGUCAUUUUCUCUAAGAAUAUGAUGUUAUAUUGCACUUCUAGAAAUAGCGCAUGUCACGUGAAUUUUUCACACGUAAAAAUGCGUGUGCGCGGCCGCAAGGCUUCAAAUCCACAACCUCCGGCCUCGCGCGUAGCUUCCUUGACAUCUCGCGAUAUGCAUCACAUGUGAUUGGGUGGUAGAUGCUUUUUUUAAAGUAACUUGUGGAGAACUAUUUAGUACCAGACCAAGAUAUCCGGUACUAAAAGGGUGGCAUUUAGUACCGAUCGGUGUCUUGGUCCAGUACUAAAAAUGCCAGAAGCUUCAAAUUUUAGAGCUGAUACUCUGUGCCACCUUUAAUACCGGGUAAGAGCAACUCCAACAGUGCCCUAUAACAGUGCCUCAAUUUAAAUUAUAGGGCAAAAGGCUAAAAAAAUCCUCCAACAGUAGCCUCAUUUUAAAUCUUUUUAUAAAAAAUUAUAGGGCAAGCCAAAAGGUGCCUCAAAUAUAGCGCAAGUGUUGGGCCUGCCCUAUCUAGUCGCGCCCGACGCGGACUCUUCACGGGAUCCUUUAACGCCCAUGAGUUGCGACCCCCACUCCUUCUUCUUCAACGCCACCACCGUCGCUCCUACGGGAGUCGCGACCACCAUCGCGCCGCCCCCUCCGCCUCCCCGUGAUUCUGGAUCGCGCCGCCCCUCCAGUCGUUCUGGAUCGCGCCGCCCCUCUCCGUCGGUACCAGGUACGGCCGCAAGUCUCUACCCCGCAGCGUCUCCUUCCUCCAUCCCUGGUGCGCUGCCCCUUAUCUACCCUGCCGGUGCCGGCCCUUUUCCAUCCCAGGUGCUCCGCCCAGCCCUACCACGCCGCCCCUCCCCAACAGCUUGAUGGAUGGACGGAAGGCACCCAGACCCCGCCGGUCUUCCUCGGAUGCGGCCCUAGCUGCGAUUCCUGGAGCUCGUCCAGCUGUUGUGCCAGAUUCUCGAGGGAACCCCAUGGCCCCCGGUGCUACUGCUCGACCCCAUGUCCAGGCAGUACCCUCACAACCUCUGCAUCAGUCUACACCCAGCAGUGCCGAUCCAGAUUGGAUGAUGCUCGAGCACAGGUACCUUAUCGAUUUUAGUACCUCAAUUUGCUACUUGAAUUACUAAACUACUGCCAUGGUAGAAUUCAUAGUCCCCAAUGUAGAAUUCAUAGAGUUCCCGAUGUUGUUUUGCAGCACAAUGCCGUCUCAGGGUAAUUAUUACACUAAUUUACUUAGUCAGCAAGGUGUAGAUGUUUCUGAUUAUGCCGACAUUGUGGAUGUUGAAAAUAAUUUUUCAGAGUUAAAUGAUAUGAACUCACAGCCAAAAGCAAAGGGCCGAUCCAAGAACUUCAGUGAAGAGGAGGAUUUAUUGUUGGUUUCAGCUUAUCUCAAUGUUGGUAAAAAUGCUACUACUGGAAGUGACCAAAAGGAUGGUAAAUUUUGGGGAAGAAUUGAAAACUAAUUUCAUGUCAACAAAACAUUCCAGUCAGAUCGCAAUGUCUCAUCCUUGCGCCACCGGUACGGCACAAUAAGUAGCGAAAUUAAUUAUUUUUGAGGUUUCUUGGACAAAAUAGAAAGGAGGAAUGAAAGUGGAAAGACCAUGAAUGGCAAGGUAAAUCAUAAUAUCAUUGCCCAAAGACCACCAUCAUUGUUUCUCAUAUGUUUAGCACCUCCUUUUUUCAAUUUUUCAUAUACCAUAACUAUUUCUCAUAUGUUUUGCACCUCAUGUUUUGUAGAUUGGUGAAGCAAAAGCAAUGUUCCUUCAAACGAGGAAAAAGCCUUUUUCUGUAUUCCAUUGCUGGAACCUUCUUAAGGAUGAGCGAAAGUAUGCAUCUCAGCAAGAUCCGGAUUCUCAAAUGGCUAAUGAGGAUGCUCAACCCAACGCUCAAAGACCACUAGGAAGGAAAGCUGAGAAAGAAAGAGCUAGAAAGCGUGAUGAAAAUGAAUCUGAUCCUUUCAUUGAUGAAGUUAAAAAAAUGAGGGAGUCAAGAGAACAAACAAAUAGAGAACGGAAGGCCCGUGAUGAUCAGUUCCUGGAGAUUGAGAAGAGAAAGCUUGAGUUGGAGCGAGAGCAGCAUGACAAAUUGAUAAUGGAAACCGACACAAGUACCAUGGACAAUGAGGCAAAGCAAUACUUUAAGUUAAUGAAAGAGGAGAUUUUGGCUCGCCGUUUUGGGAGUAGGCUGUCAUAGGUGUUCUGUCCUUAAAAUUGAUAGAUUUUGGCUAUUUGAUAAUUCUCUUCGAUUAUUUAGACUUGAGUUGGAUCAUGUGUGAACUAUCUAUAUCUAUGUUAAUGAUUUGAGUUGUGGUAGAUAAGUUUGAUAAAUUGCUAGGUCCAGACGUUGUGGUCUGAAUAGUACAUUGAGCAAGAAUUUCUCACUGUGCUUUCAGUUUUCGUUUACAUACAGAGAUGAAAUACUGAAUAUCUUUUAUAGAUGCAUAAGGCAGAAUGUGACAAUCUUCAUCACUGCUCUGAAGCUCUGAAGUCAGGGUCUCUCUUGAACAUAUUAUGAAAACAAAUACCAACAAUCAAACUGUAAUGUGAGAUGAGUGAUACUGUUUUAAAAAUAAACAAAGUGCUGCUGGUUCAUCUAAUAAUGAAAAUAAACAAAGAGCUGCUGGUUCAUUUAAUAAUGGUAAAGAAAAGUAACUACUGCUGCCGAUUCAUCUGUCCUCGCCGCUCCCAAAGAUGUUCAACCAAGUCUUCCUGUAGUUGACGGUGCAUGUGACGAUUUUGGAUUUCGUGAUGCUUCUGAACAAAUGCCAAAAAAUUUGAUGUUCCUUCACGUGAUACCACGCCAGUCGUCUCAGCAUCACUCUUGUCGUAGGGUACUUCAAGACGAUCAGCGUCACGUUCAUCUUCAGUUAUCAUGUUAUGCAUUAUUAUGCAUGCCAUCAUGAUAUCUCGAAGUGUUGCUUCAUCCCAAAACCGUGCCGAACCUCGAACAAUGGCAAAGCGAGCCUGCAAUAUACCAAAUGCACGUUCCACAUCUUUCCUCUGAGACUCCUGAGCAGCAGCAAAAUUUUUAUCCUUCAAAUUUGUAGCGCCCUUGAUUAUUUUCACAAAAGUCGACCAAGUAGGAUAUAUCCCAUCAAUAAGGUAGUAACCCAUAUCAUAAUUGUGGCCGUUAAUCGUGUAGUUAACAGCCAGAGCUUCACCUUUAGCAAUUCUAUCAAACAGAGGAGAUCUGUUCAAAACAUUAAUAUCAUUGUUCGAUUCAGGUAGACCAAAGAAUGCAUGCCAUGUCCAUAAAUCCGUAGAUGCAACAGCCUCAAGUAUAAUAGUUGGUUCUUUCACAUGACCACAGUACAUACUAUGGUGAGCCGUAGGAUAAUUUUUCCACUUCCAAUGCAUACAAUCAAGACUGCCAAGCAUACCAGAAAAACCACGUGGUUCAGCAAUAUGAAGCAGCCUAGUUGUAUCAUCUUCAUUAGGAGCUCUCAAGUUUUCUUUGCCAAACACCUCACAAAUAGACCUGACAAAUCUGCUUAGGCUCUCAAUAGCAAUGCUUUCACCAAUCCGCCCAUAUUCAUCAACAUAAUCUGCAGGUACACCGUAAGCUAGCUGUCUAAAAGCUGCAGUUAUCUUUUGUAGGGAGGAAAAUCCAAGUUUACCGGCAGCAUUUCUUUUUUGAACAAAGUAGGGAUCAUGCCGUCUGAUAGCUCCAGCUAUUCGAUUGAAUAGAGGGCGACUCAUCCGAAAACGUCGCCGAAAAUACUUUUCUAGAUAUACUGGAUUUUCAGCAAAGUAAUCACAAUAUAAUUUUAUAUCAUGUUCUUCUCUACUUCUAUCAUAAACCUUGUGUCCAAAAACUGAACCUCGAUGUCUUUUACGCUGCUCAUGCUUCCUCUCCCGGUACUCACCCAUCAUAACAGUCAUGAAGUGGUCAAAUUCGUCAUCUGACUCAUCCUCUUCUUGAUGAAUCAUACGUCUCUUCAUCUUAGACAUUUCUGCAAUGUAUCAAAUGAAUAACAAGUUUAUAAUGCAUGAAAAAAAAGAUAGCAUGUCCAAUCUGUAUUGACAACAAGCACCAAGUAACGAAAACUAAAACUGAAGAACAAGGCAAGAGGUACAGAUCGGCAAAGAAAUAAUAUUAAAUUAAUGAUAAACACCACAUGAACGACACCACAUCAGAAUAAACUAUGCAGCUCGGAAUAAACUAAGCAGCCGCGGUAAUCAUCGGAACAAACUAAUCAAGAGUAGGCACGUCAUCAGAAUAAAGCAUGCGCCAAAUCUAAAUUACCGAGAUGAUGUGGGGAAGAGGCAGAUCGACGCCUAGUUGGCUUGGCGGCUUGUGCAGGAAGCGGUCCUUUGGCGUCAGGUGGAGAAGAGGGGUGUGUAGGAUCGAGAUGGCGGCCUAGAGGGGGGUGAAUAGUCCUUUCUAAAACUAAUUGCGCCGGCUAACCGAAACUUAUGCGGAAUUGAAACUAUUCGCUUAGCCAAGACUUCACCCCUCUAACUAUGACGCUAAGGCACUUCCAAAAAGAUCCUACACAAAGCAAAUGGAGUGCCAAACUAGUAAGAGCUCUCCUAACAAUUCUAAUGCCAAACCACACAAGUCUAAGCACUAGUACUUUACAAAUAAGGGGAGCUCCUACACAAUUCUAAUGGGCAAUAGCACAAAGCCAAACCUAAGCUCACUAGAUGCUCAAGGACAAGGAUACACAAUACAAACUUAAGAGCUCAACUUGCUUAGCUACACAAUCUAAGCAAGAGCAACUAAUUAAACUACACAAGCUAACUAGUUCCACUAUGAUCUCUACUUCUAGCUACACAAGCAAAAAGAUGAUUAGCAAGCUACACAAACUAACUAAACACUAGAGAGCAACUACACAAGCACAAGAUAUAUAUGAAUGUAAAUACAAGGCUUGUGAUUUGGAGAAUGCAAACCACCGAGAAGAGUAGACAAGAUUGACACGGUGAUUUUUAUCCCGAGGUUCACUUGGUUGCCACCAAGCUAAUCCCCGUUGAGACAAACUCCAAGGUUGCCGCCGAUCCUCUUGCUAGUGGUGACUCUCAAGUCACACUCUCCCACGUGGAGUGCUCACACCGAGCUCUAGCACAUGAUCCGGACGAACCACUUGUUGCUCUUCACGUCUCGCUCAACUAGAGUUGCUCUUCGCGGCUCCCGCGGGGUGAGCACAAUACCCCUCACAAUCUCUUCUCCGGAGCACCACACAAUCUUCUUGCGGGCUUCAACGGAGCCUCUUCCCACCAAGCCGUCUAGGAGGUGGCAACCUCUAAGAGUAACAAGCACACCGGCUUGCAACACGAUCACCUAGUGCCACUCGAUGCAAUCUCUCAAAGCAAUUGCACUAAAAUCGCUCUCUCACUCAAUUGGAUGAUCACUGUCAAGUUAGAGUGAGUAGAGGGCUCUCAAGCACUCUCACACAUGGACACCAAGUCCCCAAGGUGCUCAGCCCACUCAAAUGGCCGGCCACACCCUCUAUUUAUAGAGGGAGGCCCCAAACUAGCCGUUACACUCAAAUCCCGAGAAAACAGAGAUUUCGCGGACUGUCCGCCUCACAGAAACCGGACCGUCCGCCAUUCAAAACCAACGGCUAGAACAGCAAUUAUUAUAUGUCAGAGUCGACCGUUAGAGCCCCGGGCGGACUGUCCGCGCCCCUGGGGCGGACUGUCCGCGGUUCAAAACUUCGAACCAACCGAUUUGCAAACGUCUCUGACUAAAUUUGGAAGUGACCGGCGGACUGUCCGCACCCCAUGGGCGGACUGUCCGCAGUUCAAAAAGUGAGCACACACAGAAAUCGUAGUGUUUCUGUCCUAGAAUUUUCAGUAGGAGGCGGACCGUCCGCCCCCAAGGACCGGACGGUCCGCAGUUCAUUUUGGACACCCAAGAUAGAACUACCAAGAAUCUGCGCCCGUUUCAGCUUUUAAUGGCGGACCGUCCGCCCCCAUAGACCGGAUGGUCCGCAGUUCAUUUUGGACCACCAACAGAGCCAAAAAUGGCUCUGUUAGAGCUCAUCCGAGAUAACGGCAGACCGUCCGCAGGUCUAUUUCCAGCAGAAAUGUACCUCGGUAAAACGGCCAUAACUCUUAGCUCCGAUGUCCAAAUUAGGUGAUCUUGGACUCUAUGGAAAGCUAAUUCAGAGGGCUCCACAACCGAACUGAAUACUUGGUCCAAAACACAAUGGAUCAAAGCAGUAUUCCACUCCAAGAGACAACCUAAUUUCCGGAGAAAACCGAAAAACCUUUCUUGCUUCCCAAAGUUGAUCAACAUCAACUCCAACUCUUUCUCCUUUGCAAAAGUGCCAACACCACCACGUGAACAACACCAUGUGCAUAUGUGUUAGCAUUUCACAAUUAUUUUCAAAGGAUUUUCACUUGAUCUCACCACGCCACUCGAUUCUAGCAACAUCGCAAUGUUAGAUCGCUCAAGUGGCACUAGAUGAUCGAUAUGCAAACAAGUUUGCCCCUCUUGAUAGUACGGCCAUCUAUUCUAAAUCCGGUCAUGCACUUCUCUACACAACCUUUGACCGGUGAAAUGAAAUGCCCUACAAGUCAUACCUUUGGCUUACGCAUUUCAUUUCAUUUUCCUAAAUGUUGAUGCCACACAAACACCAAAUUCCAUCAAGCCUUUUGAUCAUCUUCAUAAGUCAACAUUUGGCUUGAUCUUCCUUGAAUGAUAUGAUCCACUCCAUAUCAUCACAUGACCUCUUUGGUCCAUCGAUCUUGACCUUGCUCGCUCUUCACCGUUGCCUCGGUCCAUCGGCGCCAAAUCUUGCUCAAGCUUCAUCGCCUCGCGGUCCCUCGCUUCAAAGCCUUGACUUGCCCUUCUCCAUUGCAACCGGUCCAUCAAGCCAAGCCUUAUCUUGAUCUUCUUCAUUUUGGUCACAUAACUCCAUGUUAUGUCUCAUAUGCAAUGAGCUCCUCGCUCACACUAUAUGAGCAUAGCAUCAACCCCUAGCCAUUUCUCCUCCAUGGCACAUGUUGCUCAUACUAGUGUCUUUGUGUGGACUAAUCUCCUGUGUAUCUCAACAUAAACACUUAUUAGUCCACCUAAGUUGUCCAUCAAUUACCAAAACCAAACAAGGACCUUUCAGGGUGGCGUCAAUUGCACAUGGUGCCGGCAGCGGCAGCCAAAGGCAGACGGGAGAAAACGGCAGAAAAAAAGAAGCAGGGCGGCAGAAACGCACGCCAACUCGCCGAGGGCGCCAACGGGCGCCGCGUGAAAAAUAGACUUUACUAACUAACCACGUGAUUAAGGGCACACUGUUGGAGCCUAUCAAUUAUUUUAGGCCCUAUUUUAUCAAAAUCAGGCCCUUUUAAAAUAUGAGGCACUAUUUUAAGGCACUCUCUUCAGUUGCUCUAAAGAAUGACGGAUACUAAUCUUGUGUGAUGCCAUGAAAGGUCGUUUUUUAGCUUCGUUGGUUCGAGACUUUGUAUAAAUAUUAAUGCACAAUUACCGAGAAGAAAAUAAAUGUACAAGAGGUACAUGUAAAUUUUACUACUUUGGAACAUAUAAUUAUUGAUGCUCGUUAACCAUAUGAGCUACAGCACCGUCGUUGAACCAUCCUCAGGAUUUACAACAGAGUAACUUUAGCAAUAGCCAACAAAUGACCACUUUGGACAGAUUAAACACGAAAAGAAUACGGAGGUAAAAGAAUAUUGUAGUAGCAGAACUAAGCUAGUACACGGGCAUCGAUCUCCAUCUCCACACAGGAGGAGACGAGAGAAAUGAAGUUUGGUCAAGGGGGGACUCGAUCCGAAACUCAGGAGGCAGACACAACAGAAGGGCGGCUCACAGAAGCCUUCCUUCCUUCCCGCAAGCCGCCGUGAGCUCUGCUCCGCCGCCGGGGCAGCACAGCAGGACGAGCGACACGGCUCUAGUGGAGCGCGUAGGUGGCGACGAGCGCGGCAACCAUGAGCACGUAGGCCACGCCCCGGUCGACGGCCUGCCGGUCGACCCCCCGCCGCCCUCGCGCGGGCGCCGCCGCGGCCACCGUCUCCUCCGCGGCCGACGAAGACUUGCCAGCCGCUGCCAUGCCGGUGCUGACGCCAAGCAAGGAUCUCGCGUGGGCCUUGAUGGUCGGGCGGGCGGCGCUAAUUCGACGAAUACCUCGAGCUGUUUCCAAGCAGCUGCGGGGAUGGAGAAGGAGCUGGGGAUCGAUGAUUUUGGGUGCGCUGAGGCGAGCUGGCCGCGACGGCGCACGCGUGUAUAUAUGCUUGUGCCCGUGCACGGGAGAGAGGGGCGGCGAGGCGAUGGAAGGAGGAAGACUCGCUCGUGUAAGCCGGCCGGCCGGCCGGUGGGUCGUUAGCCGCCUGGUUUGAUUGGUCGGGGGGAGAGGACAAGUGCGGGUUUGGCUUUUGUUUGCCGCGGUUGGGACUUGGAAGUCCUCCUGGUGGAAGGUGGACGGG